rnacentral:lncRNA from 1 species
AUUUUCAGCCUGCAAUUUGAGAAAUGGUAUUUCAAUAUAAAUAUGUAAAAAUUAUGAUAAAUAUAUCAUUUCUUCAUAAUAAUCGGAUUGAAUAAUUACCAACUGAGACAGAGAGGAAGACGAGAUGCAUGUCAACAUGGCAAAGUUGCAGGAAAAUGCAGAAUUCACGGGUCGAAUGAUGGCACAUGCUUUUCGCAAAUGAUCUUGCUUUGGAGGAUAUAAAUUGAGCUUGCUGGAUGGAUGCAGACUGCAGUAGGAAAAAAGAUUGAUUUUCCACAGUUUUAGCUGCCUGUUGUGUUUAAUUUUUCUAUAGUUCUAUGCUAGUCAAGAGUAGCGCACAGAAUUGUGUAAUGAGAUGACAAUUAAUAUAAUGGGUUUUAAUUAGAAGGGUCGCGCUCAAGAGAGAACCACUCCUUAAAAUAGAACCAUAGAACCACUAGGGUUCUGCUGCAGAACCCUAAAUUUUAAAUAGAUUUUUAGGAUCUAAAUCUAAAUACAUGUUUUUUUCAUGUUUUUUCAUUGUUGUGUGUGUUCAAAAAUAAUUUAAAAAUAUAAUUCAUAGAUAUUGACAUUUUUUUUGUGAAAUUCUGCUGCAGAACCCCAAUUUUUUUUUUUUUUUUAUAAUAAGAAUGAAUCUCAACAAAAAUGAUCCAGCAAUUCACCGAGAUAAUUCUUUCAUUCAAGAAAACUUAUCAUCUAACCAUCGGACAUGCAAGAUGACCGGGAAAAUUCAGAUAAUAAAACUUUAAUGUCCGAAAAGAAAACUCGUCUUCUUCCAAACAUCCUGAAAAUAUAAACAAAGGAAACAAAGAGAAUAUAAGUCUAUAUAUAUAACUGAUUAUAUAUAUAUUAUUAAAAAAUAAAGAAUAAUAUAUCCAAUAACUAAUAAUAAUUAACAUCAUGUGAUUAUCAUUCAACUAGUGAAAAAGAAAAUUAAGUAAAGUCUCAACCAAAGAUGGAUCUUUGGUGAGACACUAACGAAAAAGAUAAUAUACCGAAAAUAUAAUAUAACAAUUAUUAACAAGCCAACAAAGUGACACAUAAUUGCAGCCAACAAAGUGGCACAUAAAUGCCUCUUGCAAGCCAAAGAUAAACCAUCAAUCAUGGUCAGUUGUCACCCAUAAAUGGUACAAAAUUAGCCAUCAAUAGAUGCACAAUUAACGUACGAACUCAUUAAAUGACAAUCAAGAUAAUUUCAAAAAAAAAAAUCAAUAAUUUCCAUAUAUACAAAAGGAUCAACUUUAAAGUGAUAAAGGAAAUUUUAAUUAAGAAAAUUAAAAUUUUUAUAUAAAAUCCUUAUAACAUCUAUAAUAUGGGUCGCGCUCAAGAGAGAACCAGUCCUUAAAAUAGAACCAUAGAACCACUAAGGUUCUGCUGCGGAACCCUAAAUUUUAAAUAGAUUUUUAGGAUCUAAAUCUAAAUACAUGUUUUUUUCAUAUUUUUUCAUCGUUGUGUGUGUUCAAAAAUAAUUUUAAAAUCUAAUACAUAGAUAUUGACAUUUUUUGCAUGUGAAGUUCUGCUGCACAACCCUAACUCAUACUUAAGUUCUGCUGCAGAACCCUGUCUUAUAAGGUAAGGGUUCUAUGGUUCUCUCUCUAAUGGUUCUCUCUGAAACACGACCCAAUAUGAUAUAUCUAAUAGAGCAAACUUAAGUAAUUUAAUUCGAAAUGCCUAAUUUGUCCUUUACUCAUUAAACAUAUAUUUAUAUCUAUAAAGGUCAUUAUUGACUUUUAAUGUUAAGGUAUUUAUUGGACAUUAAUGUCUAAUCAUUAAUAUACAUUAAAUUACUUCAUAAUUAAAAUUCCAAUAAAAAUAUGUAUAAUAUAUUUAUAUUUAAAGUUUAAUAAUAUAUAAAUAAAUAUAAUGAGUAAUUUAAUUCGAAGAGACUAAUCUGCCCUUACUCAUUAUAAAUAUAUUUAUAUUUACACACAUAGAGGUUAUUAUUGACGUUUCAUACUAAUCUAUUUGGAGCAUCUCCAGCAGUGUCUCAAGUAGGUUUCUUAAAGUUAUUAUUGAUGUUUCAUACUAAUCUAUUUGGAGCAUCUCCAGCAGUGUCCCAAGUAGGUUUCUUAAAUAUAUAAUAAACAAUUCAAAUUCUAAAAAAUAGGGAUCCUAUAUUGAUUAACAACUCCAACAAUAAUCCCUAUUUNGGAUCCUAAAGUGUAGUGAAUGAGUAGGGACUCUGCUGAGUGAAAUUUUGCCCAUAUUCCUCAAAUUUUUAGCUUAAGACCUCAUAUAGCUAAUCUGCUGGAGAUGCUCUUAUUAGACAUUACUCCCUCCGUCUCUAAAAGCUUUUCUCGUUUGAUAUGUCGGGAUUAUUCAUAACAUGAGACAAAUUAUUAAUUUAUGUUUCAUCUGUUAGACUAAAUAUAGUCAUUAGUGAUCUUGUUGGUUUCGUAUUUAUGAGUACCUUAGUACAGUGUAGUUUUUAUAUUUAAUAUUAAUACGAAAUUAAAGAUAUUAACGAUCAAAAGUGUGUGUUGGCAAACGUGUUAAAGGCAAACAUGAAAAGUAUUAAGAGACGGAGGGAGUAAUAUAUAUUCAUUAAUAUACACUAAUUAUUUUAUUAUUAAAACUCCAAUACAUAUAUGUAUAUGAUAUUUAUAAUUAUGAUUUAAUAAAUAAACAAACAAAUAAAUAAAUAGCCAGUAAAAAGCGGGAAUCAGAAAAUCGGUGAUUAAUCGAGAUGUUUAACAUGACCAUUAUUUGAAAUUAAUUUAUUAUUAUGUGUGUGUGUGUAUAUAUAUAUAUAUAAUAUGUAUCUAAUCAUUUUUAAAAUUUUGAAUUUCCACCACAAAUUUUGUAAAUUUUAAUAUUUUACCCCAUUUUCGUCUGAUUAAUCCAUUUUUGAUCAAAUAAUCGAUUUAACCGUAUUUUACCAAAUCGGAUUAAAAAUAUAAUAUAUAACUAUAUAACAUACAACUCAAAAAAUUAAUAUUAUUUUUAAUAGUAAUUUUAUUCAGGCUAUAAAAGGCAAUGACAUGGACAAAACGGGAAUCAGAAAAUCGGCGAUUAAUCAUAAUCAUUAAUAGGAUUAUUAAAUUUAAUAAUUUAAUUAUAUAAUAAAAUUUUAAAUAAUGUAUAUUUUUAUAUUUAAAUUUUAAUAAAUAUCAUAAUAGUGAGGAUAUGAGUUAUAUAAACGGGUUAAUUAUCAAGUUAGUCACUGAAGUGGGUUUAAUGUAUCAAAUUGGUCACUGAACUCAAAACAGUAUCAAGAUGGUCACUGAAGUGGACAUAAAUAUCAAACACGUAACUUGAAAUAUAAGUUCAAGCAGUAAAAAUAUUAUUUAUAAAGUUUUACACAUUAUUUUUGAAUGUUACCAAAACCAAGUAAAAGGUUAUGACUUCUAAUAUUUAUGAUAAUAUAUUAAGAUUUUAUCAAGUUUAUUUAUUAUUUAUUUUUAAUUAAAACAAAGAAAAUAACUAUAUAAUAAAAUAUAAAUAAUAAAUAAACUUGAUAAAAUAUAAAUAUAUUAUUUUAAAUACUAGAAGUCAUAACCUUAUAGUUGGUUGUGGUCACAUUUAAAAAAAAUGUGUAAAACUUUAUAAAUAAUAUUUUUACUGCUUGAACUUAUAUUUCAAGGUACCUGUUUGAUAUUUAUGGUCACUUCAGUGACCAUCUUGAUACCGUUUUGAGUUCAGUGACCAAUUUGAUACAUUAAGCCCACUUCAGUGACUAACUUGAUAAUUAACCCUUAUAUAAACAUCAAUAAUAUGACUUAAAAUUUAAAUAAAUAUAAAAUUUCAAUUAAAAAAGGACGAACAAAGAUAUAUAAUAUAUAUUAAAAAAUAUUUUAAAGCAACCCGUGCUUUGCACGGGUUAAAAAGCUAGUUUAAGUAAAACAUCAAUCAAUGAUGAGAAUAUAACAAUUACUAAAAAGAUUGAUAUCUAAAUUUAAAAUAUAUAUAAAAAUGAGUUAAUCACUAAUUAAGGAAAUAUCGCAUAAUACAAAUUCCUUAUGUUACAACCAAAAUCAUUAAAACAUUAAAAGCAGACAAUUAAAACUGAAAAUUAAAUACAGUUAUACAAAACUGAAAUCAUAAAUUAUGCCAUAAUUUUAGUCAAGAAUUUUACAGCCGAAACCACCAUCGCAAACCACCGUUAGACCACCAUCAUUUUGAAAAUACAACAUGUUAACACUAAAUCAAAACCUAUUACUGGUUAUGGUUGCAUAGAAUUUAAUCUUAUGCAAGCAAUAUCAAAAUGCACAAAAUCUAUAUUAUGAAUAACAAUAUUAAGAUCAGAUGCACAUAUCUAAAUUAUCAACAGAUCACAUAAACAAGUAAGAUUGUGAAUUAGAAAGAGUACACCUUGAUUUUAUGGAGUAUGUUCACACAAAAUGAGUCAUUUUCAAAUAUGAUCCGUCCUUUGAAGAUAUCCUUCAAAGAUUAUCUGCUUUAGUUAAAUAUAUAUAUCAAACAUUUUUCUUUAGUUAAAUGGGCUUCAUAAAAUUUUGAAAUUGCAACCUUUUUCCUUACCUCUUGACACUUCAUGAAUUUUUUUGAUCAGAAGAUUCCAAAAAUUACAUUUACAAUAGCUGUGCAAACGAUUUGAAUUUUCAAGACUAAACUCGAAUAAACUCGAAUUUAUUCAGAAAAUCAAAAUAUUAUUUAUAACCCUAUCUAUAGCUUUGAUUUCAGAGUCAAUUUCGACUAAAUUUUACCAGAAAGGCCGAUUACUAUAGCAUGAACACUAAAAUUUUGGAUUUAAAAUCUAAACUUAAAUGAAAAAUCAAACAAAAAAAUGUAUAGCAUAAAUGCAAAAAUUCUGGAUUUUUGAUAUGUCUUUCAAAUUUUAUUAUAAAACCAUCAAGUCUUCAAUUCUAAAAAUCAAUGAUUAAUCACCGAUUAAUCCAAUUAAUAUCUAAUUAAUCCUUGUAUCUCGUCGAACUGAUUAAAUCUCCGAUUAAUCCAAUUAACAUCCGAUUAUUUUAAUUAAUCUCGAUUAAUCUUUGUUUCGUGACUUCGCCCUUAAAUCUGAUUUCCGCUUUUUAACAUGAGUUCCAACUUUUGUUUCUAACACUUUCAAUUUAAUUUUUAUUUUUACUCAGCUAUUAGAACCGGCAUCAACUAAAGUCGGCAGUAUUACUCCCGAAGUAAACACAGACAAGUUGCCGCGUGUCACUUGUCCGUAUGUACACAUAAAAUAUAAUCAAGAAUAUUUAUACUACUACAAUACUCCCUCUGUCCCAUUUAAUUCUAUACGUUUCUUUUUAACUGUUCGACACGCAUUUCAAUGUUCUUAUAAAAUAUAGUUACGUAACUUAUUUUUGAGAUUUUCUUUUUCUGUAUAAAAAUAUAACAUCUAAACUUUAAUUCAGAAAAGAAAAAUUUUAAAAAUAAAUUGCACAACUACAAUUUGCAGGAGCAUUAAAGUCUGUACCGCGUCCCCGUCCCCCAAUGUAUACACUCAGGGGGACGGAGGGAGUAAUAUAUAGCAGUUGCGGUGCUCUCCCUUUCUAUAAAAAACACCUCACUUUAAGGUUAAGCAUCUUCUGUAUCAAAUUUCAAAUCUUUGUUAGCAACUUCAACAAUGGCGUGCUUUCAAAGUUAUUUUUAUCUCUCUCUCAUUCUCCUCUCCCUUGUCUGCAUACAUCACACUGUCAACUGCGAUGAUAAUGGUAUGUGUUUCUUGAUUUUUCUGUGUUUUUGGUGCAUAAUACUAUGUUCUUCGUAUGCAUUUUUUUUAUUUGUUUUGUGGGUGUUCUUGUUUUUGAGUCCUUUUAUAUGUUUGAGCAACUUUUCUGACUACUAAUAAUGUUGUGGAGUUGGGAGGGGGGAGUUGUAUAUAGUUUUAGAUUAUUUUUUUUGAAAAAGGGUUGAUCUUGAUUUGGUGUUUCUUGAGAUGGGGUGUGUGUGAAUUGGCUAAAGAAGAUGUUACUUGGACUUGGAUCUGCUCUGGUUGUGUUUUUUAUAUUCAAAUUGGGAUUGUUCUUCCUGGUCUUGCUGUGUGUGUGUGUGAUUUGAAGAUGCAAGAUUAGUAAUAUCUGGGAUUUAGAUCUAUUUACCUUCUUGGUAAUGAAUAUGUGUAGUGUGUGUACAGGUAUAAGUGUAUGUGUAGUGUAUAGAUGUAGCUGGUGAGCUCAUUUCGAUCUUCGAGAUAUAUUGCAUUUGGGAUUGAGAUCUGUACUACAUUGUAUUUUAUACCAAACUUAUUUAGGUUCUGCAUUUGAAUAUGUUAGUAAUUGUCAAAGUAGUUAUAGAGUGAUCUGCAUAUGGAAUGAAAGUUCUUCAGCAAGGAGGGGAGGGGGUUGUUCGAUUGGAAGAGAAUAUUUUGGUAAACUUAGAUCUGCCAGCUACUUCUGCCUACAAUGUUGUUCAAUUUCAUUGACUUAAUUACCAAAUUCAUUUCCAUAGAUGUAAAGUUGGGUGCAAUAAAUGUAAUUAGUGAGCUGUGAAGUGUGUUUCUUUUAUAUGCUUUUACUUGAAACACUUCACAGAAUUUGAGCUGCUCGAUCAAGGUUCUCAGGGUUUAGGAAUACAGUUUAACAGUCUAGCAUUUCUUUCAACAACAUCGGCAUAUAAGACUUGCAUAAGGGACAAAUAAUUAUACUUUCUGUAGUUUUAAUAAAGACGGUAAUGAUCAUGAAUUGAAGAACACUAUUUUUUAUCUGAGAGAAUCAAAGUUACUCAUCAUUUAACCUUGUGUGUUGCUUGCAUCAUUCUGAGCCCUGUUUUGUGUAAUUGUACUUAAAUACUAAAGUAAUUAGUUUAGUAUGUUUUGAACUAUCUACUUUUUGCCCUUUUGGAAAUAAAGGCCAAGAAUAGUUGCAUAGGUGCUCUUUUAUAUGCACUUCUACACAUAAAUACUCUAUAAUCUGCACUUCCUUUUUUAUUGGAGUUUAGGGUACACAGUGGGUGAUUGACAUUUUAGUAGUUGAACUUCCGAUUUCAACAAUUUAAGGUAAAUUAUUUACAUCCUAGUUAAGUGUUUCAAUCUCACUUUUUAGUAUAAUUCCUUACAUCCUUAAUGUCACUUUUGUGGCUAAUAGAAUUUAGGCCCAAAUAGGGUGUCUUAAGAGCUUUAAAGCAAUUUGGUGACAAAUGUUUGUUCUAACAAUUGUUUAGAAAGGUGAUGGGUAUUACAGGUUGUAAUUUUGUAGUUUUGUUCUUCACCAUUCAAUUGAAGUACUUGAUAAUGACCCUUUUUUUUUCAGAUGAGGAAGACAGUCUUCUUCGAGGCAUCAACAGCUAUAGGGCCACUUUAAAUUUGCCAAGUCUGACAGACAAUGACAAAGCCGAGUGCCUCGCAGAGGAAAUUGCCGAGCAGUUUAAGAAUCAACCAUGUACAAAUACCACUGGUGCAAACACAGUACCUGGAACUGAGCCUCAAUUUUCGGACUUCCCAAACCUUUUAAACAAAUGCAAAUUGAAUGUCACCACUACAAGGGAUGGUGCCAUAUUGCCUGCUUGUGUUCCUAAUCUAGCUCAGGAUAUAGUCCUAUCCAAUUACACACAUUCUCAGUAUUCUGGCUCUCUCAAUGAUACAAAAUACACUGGAAUUGGGAUCGGCUCGGAUGACAACUGGAUUGUUGUUAUUUUGACCACAGAUACUCCAACCGGGAAUUUUGCCACUGGUUCCUCCGUUCCAGAUGUCAACUUUGUAACAAAGAUGAGUCCAUUUCAACCCCUUUUAUUUGUGAUGAUGGGAAUUUUCUUCCUUGUUGGAGCAUAUUAAGCAAGUGAAUUUCACAUAUUCUAGUGGAGGGCCGGAUACUAACUGUUGCUGGAAUUUUAUUGUCUCCUAACUGAUACUUUCUCAGAGGUUGAAUAAUUCAGUUACUAGGACAGCCUGCUCUCACGAAGACAUGAACUUAAAGCUGUUUCUGUUUAUGUUGCCUCGUAAUGCUGUUGCAAUCAACCCGGAUUUUGCUGAGUUGUAUACAUAGUUGUUUUAAAUCUUUUUUAGUUUCUGUUUCUUGAAUAUGAUCUGCUGCUUUGAGGUAAGACCUGAUCAUACUUUCUUUGAGCAUAUAUGUGUGUGGUUCUUGUAAUGUUUCUCCUCUUAUUCCUCUCAUGUUUGUCUGAGUUCAAAAUUUUGUUGUUCCAUGUUCUAUAUAUGUGUCAGUUGUACCGACCGGUUGUUUAAUAAAAAGAACUUUUAAAAUAAUUUAUACCGAGUCCUAAAACAUAUGUGGAGUCCUCCGAGACGUAUAUAAAUGGCCGGGACAAAAGUGACCCAAACGUAUAUAAAUGGCCGGGACUGAGCAGUACAUUGGUUGUCAAGAAGAGAAGAAGAAAGAGAGAGGACGUUGUAGGCGGGUGUUCAUUAAUGAUGCAGAGAAUAUACGCUAUCAACCCCACAGAGUAAUGAGAAUUUGGCCGAUACUUUUAUUCCCUAUCGCCAACUUGUGGUAAGCUCCUCAACAGCUGAACUUGGACAUUGCUUUCUGUGAGCUCUUCAACUUUGCACUAGUAUAAAACAAGUCCUCAUAACUGUAAGAGCAAGUCCAAUGGGGGAGCUAAAGUGGGUGCUAUUGCCAUAAUAUAGCACUCAAAGAAAAAAUGCAACUCCAAUGAGAUGCUGUAUUUAGAUGCAAAAUAGUAAAAUUCUAUACUUAGAUGCUAAAUAUAGAACCAAGUAUAGAUGUUGCUAUUUCUAUAAUAUAGCACCUUUAACUCAUUAACUAGUUUCCAAUUUCUAGUUAUUGAUGAUGUGGUAACAUGGAUGGAUCCAUCUUUGGUUUCAAAUAUAGAACCAAGGAUGCAUCUAAGUAUGGAUGCAUCCAAAUAUAGCAUCCCUUUGGAGUUGAGUUUUUUUACUUUUGAUGCUAUAAUAUAGCAAUCAAACCAAGUAUAGCAUUGCAUUGGAGUUACUCUAAGGAAAAAAUGCAACUCCGAUGAGAUGCUAUAUUUAGAUGUUAGAUGUAUUUAUAGGAGGGUAGUUGAAGGUUAGUUAAUAUCAGUGUUGUAAAAAGCGCAAAUCGGUCCUAAACGGUGAGGUGACCUUCUAGCGCUUAAGCGGAUAAGCGGACGCUUAAGCGGAAUUUUAAGCGGGUGAUUAAGCGGAACAAUAAUUUAUAUUUAAAAUUAUAUAUAUAAUAAUAUUAUAUGUAAAAUUAAAAUUAUAAAAUAAUUAAGUAACAAGAAUUUAAACAUAAAAUGUUUUUGAUAAAAAAAGAUAUUUUUAAUAUUUUAUUAUAAUUUUAUUAAUAUUUAUAGAAAAAUAUUUAUAUUUAAAUAUAAGAAAUUAGCAAGUCAACAUCAUUCUGACCGCUUAAUCCGUUUAAUGACCGCUUAAUCCGCUUAACAGACCGCUUAAUGUUAAAAAACGCUUAAUCACCCGCUUAAUGUAAAAUCGAAGCGUUUCACCCUCCGAUUCCGCUUAAGCGCCCGCUUAGACGGCCGCUUAAUGCGCUUUUUAGAACACUGGUUAAUAUACAUCUAAUUGGUUCUAUUUUUAAUCUAUCCAUUGGAGUAUGAGUUCUAUUUUAACUCCAAAAACCACUUUUUAGUUUCAAAUUAUAACAAUAACUAUACACAUUUUAGCAUUACCAUUGGAAUUGCUCUAAUAGUAAUAUUUCCAUAGUCUUCGCUAUAUACCAAGCCAUGAAAGAAUGAAGAAACCUCUGAAUAUUACGGCGAAAUCAGUGUUGUUGUGGCAGAGAUUAAGGUUGCUACAAAAAAUUAUGUAAAUUUUAUUGGGAAAAAUGAAAAUGAUAGGCACUCACAAAUUGUUCUCAAUUUUUUUUCCCAAAUCUUAAUUGAUAAUAUCUGAUUAUUUAACUUACACUGAUAAUAAUGAGAACCUCUUGUAUACACAUAAACCACUCAAAUAAAAUUAGACGUCAUCCGAAGAAAAUGAAGAUUAAAUUUGGAAUAUGCAGGAGUCGAGGGAAGGGCAAGCCUCUUCUUAUGUUCAAACUGUUGGUGGCAGUAAUUGAUGCGCCGAGAGGUACUUUUUUUAGAUGAAUAAAUUAGAAAAAUGUGAUCGUUAUAAUACCUACAGAAAUAGAUUAUUAUUAUGCAUCAAAAAUUUUAUCCUCAUAUUUCUACCAAAUAAUAUGACAAACAAAUAAUUGAUUUCAACUGAAUCUGAAAGUAAUUCUUUAAGUACCUAGCAUUUUCUGCACCAAAAUUGAACUUCUGGAAGGUUAUCAAACUGCAAUCAAAUUCUCAGAGAGUGGGGUACCAUUUGCAACCGAAAAAGUCAAGUUGGACAUGUUGUGAAGUUGUGGUUUGACUUCUAUCAGAAAUGCACGAUACUUUACUCAAACUUGGUCAAAAAAGAAUGUCGGUUAGAUGCAGAGAAGCGUUGACAAUUUAAAAACAAAUGGAAAACAGGGAGUUAGCAGGAGUGAUGAUUGAUAUUAGUAGUUGAGGAACAUCAACAGAUGAUCUAGUGUUUUGUGUUAUGAUUUUGCAGGGUGUAUUGUACAUAAUGAUGGAGAUUCCACUUUAAAAAGAUCAUCAGAAUCCAAGUGAAUUCGUGUGUUUCCUAACUAAUACACUCAAAGAUUCAUCGUGUUGGUUGUUAAGCUUAAAAAAGAAGAGAGGGUCUAGUGGAUUUUUUGUGAUUGGAAUGGAUGAGGCAGAUGGACCCUUUUUUUUUUCUUUCUCCGACACCGCAUUACAAGGCCAGUGCAAUAGCCUUUUAGCUGAGUAACUUCAAACUUAGCGCAAUGAAAUUAAGGUGGUGCUUGAUUCAUGGUUAACGAGGUCGGUUGGCGGGAAUCAGAACCUCAAUCUUAUGUGUAAGUGUUUGGAUUAGUAAUUUGAUGGUAUGGAAUAAGAACCUUAAUCUUUUUAGGUGGUUAAAUCAUACUCUUUUCAACUUUUGAGUUUUCAUAUCAUUCUUAUUCUCAUUCUCGAUUCUCAUACACACAUGAAAAACAAAAGUAUGUAUAAAAAAUAUUUAAUUUAUUUAUUUCAAGGAAAUUUAGGAGUUGAACCUCCGGGCACAUAUACGUCACACCUUUUUUCAUUGCUUAAUUAGGAAGAAUACAUGUUCGUUUUCACAAAGAACCAAUAAUUAGAUCGCUCUUUUUAGAGAUCGUGAACCCUUGUCAUACUGUAUAUAAUAAAAUACCGCGUGUGCCUUUUACAUGCAUGGAUGGUAGUUACGUAUGCACAUGGAUAAGUAUUCACAGUUUUGCUAGUCGAUUAAACAAUUAGCCGAGACACACAAUCAAGAAUAAUCAUUUUGUACUAGUAUAUCAAAAUUACAAUUCUAAUAUAUUUUUGAGUUAUUGUUUCGGGUUUAACUUCAAAAUAUAUUAUUUUAACUGUUAUUCUUUAAAUUUAUGUAUAGGUGAUACAGAAGUUCUGAGAUCUCAAAUUUUAUUGGUUAAUAUCAUAUUUCAUAUAAAUUGAUCUUGAGCAUUAACUUUUUCUUAUUUUGGUGGAUACUUAAAACUUAAAAAGUAGAAAAUAAAUACAAAAGUACAGACUCAAGACUGGAGUACAUGUGUGCUCGAAGUCAACGAGCUCAUCUAAUUUAGAAUGGAGGGAGUAUCGUAGGUGCUUGAUUGAAUAAUUGUUACAGCGAACUUGCACUAAGAUGAAUAAUGGAGGAUUCUCCGCUGGCUAGCUUCCCCUAUGUUUUGUCUAUGUCAGGGCAUUGCCCUUCUCCACUCUCCAGUCUCCAAUAAACAUAGUAUAUACUUCCAGCUGUGUAGUAACAUUCUAGUGGAUAUGGCGGCAUGGUGACCAACAUUUCCUUCAUUAAACUAGUAAAUAAACUUUUUCUUAAAGCUAUGCGAUUCGACCCCAUUUCUAACUCGUACGGACACCAUCACCCAUAACAUAUGCGUUAUGGAGUAGAAUAUCCGCUACAAAGAAUAACACAAUCACCCAUAAUUUAUCAAUAUUACGGAGUAGGAGCAUCUCCAAAAAUUGAGAUCUGUUAGUUAAAAUAUCUAUGUGUCAUUCCAUGUGUCAUCUAAGUGGCACUUUUAGAUGAUAUGUAAAAAGAAAUACUCUCUGUUAUAGCCAAAUUUGGCUAGGUCCUUGUUGGGCCAGGUAUGUACUUAGUUUAACUAAGUAAGACAUGAAUUGGGCUAAGAGUCCUAUAUAAAGGAAGGACGCGUCCUCCUGCUUAUAAAGUGAGGACGCGACCGACCCUUGAAGAGACUAGUCUGAACGGAAGGGCGCAGCCCUCCGUGAUAUGACUGAUCCGCCGAUGUUGCGUAUCUUAAUGAAGAGGACGCGUCCUCCGCGUCGGAAGGAGGGAUGCGUCCUCCAGGUCACACGUGUCCCAUGAAGAGGACGCGUCCUCCUGCUUAUAAAGGGAGGAUGCGAUCGACCCUUGGUGUUGCGUGAAGAGGAGGCGUCCUCCUGCUUAUAAAAGGAGGAUGCGACCGACCAUUGGUGUUGCGUGAAGAGGACGCGUCCUCCGAGUCACAAGGAGGGACGCCUUACUUGAGAGUGUUGAUGGAGAGACGCGACCGACCUCCGUCCACCCACGUCGUGUAAUCUAUGGAGGAGGGCGCGCCCUCUUCGGAGGUGACCGAGGGGCGCGUCCCUUGUAAGAAGUUGACCAUGAGAUGAAGACCAAGGGCGUGCCUUUAACGGGGUGUCCUCGCCUCCCCGGGGGCGCGACCUCAUGUUAAAGAAGGACCUGUCUGAUGUGUUGUUGGAGUGGUCGAUGGGACGAGACGGCGAAGGCAAGGGCGCGCCCUCAGGGGUCGCUCCCACAUGUAAACACAUAUUGUAAGAAGGCUCUUCCUAUAGGAGAGCGUACAUUCGCUGAGACAACCCUUCCGAGGGAGACGAAGACCGCCCCUCCGGGGAUAGGAAGACCUACCCCUCCGGGGGAUAUGACGACCCCUCCGGGGGAUACGACGACUCUUCCGAGGUGUUGUAGCCGUUUUUGUACACCAUGUAGAGGGGAGGACGCGCCCUCCUCCGGACAUAACCCGGGGAGUGCGGUCUCUUGUCCAGUAAACAGGGAUGAAGACGGGAAUUGGGAAGGACACGUCCUCCCUAUCAGGGCGCGUCCUUUGACUCAGACGAGGCAUAGUUAUGAAAUACAUGAUGAGAGAGAGAGGAUGAGUGAGUCUCCGUGACGACCCUUCCGAGGGAUAUGAAGACUAGUUACCAAGCUCAUUUGGUAGUUACCAAGCUCAUUUGGUAGUUAUCAGGCUCAUCUGAUAGUUCCCGGGCUCAUCCGGGCAUGAUCUACAAUCCUCAAUCCUGCUAUCUGCCGAGUUAACCCUCGUGUGGGGGCUUGAGGUGAUCAUGGCUCUUGAAGGCCCUCCGGGGUAACACGAAGGCCGAUCAUAUGUCUGGAUCCUGUAUUCUGGUGAGUUAGCCCUCAUCGGGGGAUUGAGACGAUCGUGUAAUUUGGCUCCUUGUCUACCUUGUUUGAAGAUGAAGACCUCACCGAGAGGUGAGGACGUGUCCCUGCACCUCGAGGGGUUAGUCAUGGCUCCCCCAGAUAACUUCUCCAUAAGAGUCGUGGUAGAUGCUAUCUCUCGUAGUGGAGAUAUCGUUGAAUCCGUGAUCUAUUUGGAUUAGGAGUCUGGGGUAGUCAUACUCAAGACUAAUUCUAACAGGAGUAGGAUUCUCCAAGAUGGGCCUUCGGCCUAUCUCCGACCUUAUCGCCAAGAGGCCUAGUCCUGAUCAAACUAGGACUCUUGGUCCAAUAGAACUACGUAUGGCUUGAUCCCCUAUAAAUAGGGGUACGUAGGCACAUUGGGGGAUCAUGAGUUGAGAGCACGUGAGACCAACUCAAAACCCUAAUCUCAGCCACCCCCUAAAACACACAAUCACCGCACUCCGGCGACCAAAACCACCGUCACAGAUCUUGAUUCCGGCCAUGAACCUCAUCUUUGUUGAUUACCAAAUUCCUCUAUCAACACUCUCCAACCGCAAAAAGAAUAUAGAUAAUCAUGUAUGAUUCAAUAGAUUUGUUGAACUAGUAAAAUUAUUAUGUAUAAUUUUAACUUGACAUAAUUAUACAUAACCCUAUUGGAGUGUUUUUCUCACCUGUUAGCAAAAAACUUGUAUAAACAAUUUACAUAAUCAUUAUAGCUAACAAAUUUCGAAAUCACCCUUGAAGAUGCUCUAAGCUGAUCUAUUCGAUCAAAACCGUGUCUCAAUGACAUUUUAUGUAAAGUUUAUACACUCACAUUUUCUGUAUCACUUGUAUAAUUGUUAGCCAUCAACUUUUCCCUCAAAACUCACUUGUGUCGCCGUUUUCAUGUAUACAACGGUAUUAUAUACCUAACCGGCCAAAUACAAUUUAUUUUGUACUGAUGUCGAGAUUUCAAAUUUCUAUCUGCCAGUCGAAAUUUCACCGAUAUAGAGAAUUAUAAGGAUACAAUUUCAUAAAUAAAGUACCUAAGUUUCUCAGCAUCAAAAUGCACAUCAUACAAAUCCCCGAAACUAAAAAUAUUGAGAAAAUUUAGCUAAGUAGCCACCCAGAAAGCCUCCCAAUUACAGAACCCUCUCUUGUUAUUACCAUGCCCACUUUCCUUGCACCUGCUGUUGUGUCUCGCAAUACUUUCCCUCCCCAUUACAACCUCAACAUCUUGUCUAAUUCCAUCCUUGUCCUUUUUUAUGUAACCAACAAUCUUGUUGUUAGCACCAUCUUUUUUAAAUUCAUCUCCUACAAAAACAUCCUCAAUUUCAUGUGUUUUAUAAUCUUCUCUUUCGAAAUUUUCUAUGUUUUCAUUUUCGGUAUCUUCUGAUCUCGCUUUUGUGUCAUAAAAAAACUCACAGUUCUUCAAAAACCUCAGUUGUAACCUGCCAUUGCUUCGCUCAGCUUCGAAACAGGCACGACUAGACGGCGCUUCCACGGCCUCAAUGAUGAGCCGGCCGCCUUCUCUGCGUGGCUUAACGUGAAGCGAAUUCGAACCACUUAUAGUUGUUAACGGAGGCGGAAAGCUCCGUGUGCUCAUCUUCUUUGCUGAUAAAACACGUCCUUGUUGCCUUGUGAUUGUUGAUGAUUUUGCACGUGUUAAAAUGUCAAUAUCACACGUGUCAUCGCUGCCUGUUUCGCUUCCCAAGUUUUCGGUACAUAAUUCCAGGCUAUUCUGGCUAAGCUUGUGAGAUGGACAAAAAGUUUCGGUACUAAAUAUUUUUUUCGGACGAUCCGAGAGCAUCUGGAGAAAAUUCCAAGCACCCGAAUCGGGGUUUUUAUUUUCUUUGGUAUUAGUGGUUUCGAGUCCUAGGGGUUUAGGUGCUGCCAAUUUGAGCCUCAGAGGUUUGUUUUCGGGGUGCUGCCAAUUUGAACCCUGAUAUACAAUGGUCGAGGACAUAGCUAUAUAGAUUUGUAAAGGAGUGUUUAGGUUGAGAUGAAACAGAUUAAUAAAGAGAAGAGUUUGUGUUUCUUUGCGAGAGAGGAAAGAAACGAAGAAGAUGUUCGACUUGAGAGACAAGUGAGGGGGAAGAUGUGAAUUUGUAGUACCCAAAAAGUGGAAUAGAGCUAGGAGAUUGGACGAAGCUUUUUGCUAGCUAACCGACAUAUAUAGGUUCUGUUUGUUAACGAGAAGUAGCUUGUACUUCUGUCUUCUGUUUUUCUUGAUCCAUUUGUGUAAAAAAACUUUUAAGAAGCUGAGAAUACUAGCUUCUCUCCCAUAGCUUCUUCUACUUCUUUUUCAAACACUUUAUUAACUUAUUUUUUUUCCACUUCUGCUCCACUUCUUUAAUUUAAACAAGAAAUCAUUUCUUUUAAAUUUGCCCAAACGGCUCCAUAGUAAAAAAAAAAACUGAUUUAAAAAUUUGUUAUGAUUCUCUGUCAAAAUGGUCUUGUAAUUAUUUUACCGUUUAAAAUGAGCUCAGGCGGUGUCCGACUGAAAUCUUGUUGUUGAAUGAGGUCAGCAGGUUCGAUCUUCAUGUCUGUUUUCACAAGUUACCCACGCAAUCAAAAUGAAGUCAAGUUCGAUGUUCCAGACUUCCAGGUUCAUGUUUCCUUCCAUAAGUCAAUGUUAAUCACAAUUGCUCUGCUCUGCUCCGCAGUCUCGUUGUAGUUUUAGAAACGGCUUUUCUUGCGGUCAUGCACAUGCAAAGCGCGAAAUUUUAUACAUUUGAGGGAUUUUAAUUGACUCUUAUAUCUUACUGUAAUAAUGAUGGACUCUUGCAUAUAUAACAAUCACACUAAUCAAAAUCUCUCAAACAUAUAAAAUUCCGUGCUUAACAUGGGCCAAUAAGCACACACAAGACAAAUCCUUUUAAAAAUGUCAAGACUCAACAGCAUAUCCUUUAAAUUAGUUAAAUGAUUGCCUGCCAAGCUGACCGAGACUGACGUAUUCUCAACAGAGGCAUCAGAAAACUUCUAUUUAAAAUGUUUUUUCCGUUUAGGUCAACUACUUUUUGGUGCAGCAAUCUGUUCUUCAUAGCUUGGACGAAACUAGUAGGUUCAUUAGUAAUAUAAACAAAGUGUGAAAAUAAAUUUGUCAACCAGAAAAGGAGUAUAAUAUCAUUUCUUGAAAUUAUAUUCAAGUAUUGCCAGCAUUUGUGUAGCGGAAAGGGGGAACUAGGCAUGGGGUUGUGCAAAAUAUAGUUCAAAUUCAUGAAUCGCGUAUGAAUUGUUUGUAGUUUUAUAUUAGAAGAGUCAAUUUUCAUUUUAUUUUAUAGCUAAAUAUUUAUUUAGGUUUUGAUCCAUGACAAUCGGUUGUCAGGAAGUCUUUAUCAAACCCACAGCUCCGUUAGCAUUUCAAGAGUCUGGAUUAAAACAUUUUUUUUAAGUAUCCGCUUAAAAAAAAGUUUCAAUCUAGACCCUUGAAAUAAAGAUCCGACGCCCCUGAAAAUGUGUGUUAGAUAAACUGUCUCUGACAAGUGACAACCAGUUGUCAGGACCAAGACCCAUUUAUUUAUACAUGUAUGUCGAAACAACAUUUAUCACAGACAGCCUGCACACUCUUACAUCGAUCAAAGUAUAUAUACUACUACUCCCUCCGUCCCAAUGAAUUAUAUACAUUGGGAUUGGACACGGAGACCAAGAAAAAGUGUAAGAAAUGAGUAAAGUUAGAUGAAAAGUAGGUAAAGUGGUGAGACCCACAUAUUUCUUAAUAAUAGAUUUGAGGUAGUGGAAGAAAGUAGUGGGUGUAAUAGUGUUUUUAUUAUUAUUGAAUGGAGAUAGUGGGAGAAUGUAGUGGGUGGAAUAGUGUUUUAUAUUAUAAAAAGUUGCUAUUUUGGGAAUGUAUAGAAAUGAUGGGACAUCCCAAAAAAGAAACUGUAUAGAAUUGAUUGGGACGGAGGGAGUAGAAUGCAUAUAGGUGCUGUGUCCGGGUAAAAUGACAAAAUCACCACUCAGCAACCAGGAUAUUUUUUCGUCACGCGCAAUAGAAUCAAUAAUUUAGUUAAAUAAAUAUUUUUUUAUUUGUUUGCUUCGUCACAAGGCAAUUAUUUUUAUUGUUGCGGUUUACUAUUAUCACCCCUUUUGUAAUUAGCGUUCUAAUUUUAGCCAAUUAAUAGGCCUGAUACCACAUUAACAAAAUUGCAUAAACUACAAAUGCUUACGCAGAUUGCUAAAGGUCCUUUACAUAAAAUAUAAUACAGUCCGUAUACUUUAAACUACUUUAUGAAGGUGAAAGUAAUGAAAUCAUCUUCCANAUACUUUAAACUACUUUAUGAAGGUGAAAGUAAUGAAAUCAUCUUCCCCCGGAAAAAAAAAAAAAAGAACCUUUAUUUGUUUGUCCGGUUGGUUCUAACUUGCUCAUUCGGCUAUUGAACUGCUAGUACGAAUACGAUAUAUUUUUGAAAUGGUUCACGAGCUCAAAUUUCACGGAUCGAGAAAUGUAAGAGAGAAGAUCAAUAUUCACAAAAGCUAUUCGAUUCAUUAAACUAUCGAUUCAGAUUUUGUUAAAAAUGUUUCAGUGAUUUUGUUAGGCUGAUGCAGGCCGAGCCUGUACUUAUUUAAUACUCCUUCCGUUCUUUUUUAAUUGUCGUUUUGUACCGGUUAAAUUGAUUAAAGUUGACUGAAAUUUAUUAAUAUUUUAUCAAUUGACAAAAUAAAAAAAAAUGUCACCUGAAAUAAUUUUUAAUUUAUUUUAAGAUGUAAUUUUUAAUUUUUUAAAAUAACAAGUGACGGAGUGAGGGACUUAUAAUUUUUGAUCAAAACUUAGACAGUUUAACUAACAAAAAUAAAAAUGUAACAACUAUGAAGAAAUGAGGCAGUAUUCCGACAAUUACAGAAAGCAAUUAGGCUAAUCUUAAAGUAUCUGGGAGGUUACCGACAAGUGACGAAGUUAGUGACUGGAGGGGGCCUUUGUAACUUGACGAGGCUCACUUGCGGAGAGAAUGGGCGCCAUGUGUCAAUCAAAUUUAGAAAUUAAUUUUGAUGGGUUCAAAAAUCAUCCUAAUGAACUACGAUAUAAAUAAGUUUUUAUUAGCGAGGAUAUGAUCAUGCAUUGAGCUAUCUUAUAAUGUUAUGAUUUACUAUUAUUUUAUUAUUCUGAUCACAGUUAGAAUAGUUCCCUGAUUUGAAAAAUUAUUUUGACGUCGCAUUGAAUAGACCCGUAUCAAUUUGUUCAAUAUUUUCUAAAUUUUUACUGAUCAGUCCGAUUUCUGUAUGUUAUUUUGACUGACGUACAUGAGUACAUUACUGUCAUGGUUUAUCAUGGUUGACGAUCUGUUCAUUAAAUAUUUUAUUGACCGUCAUGUGAAAGUUUUUUUUUUUUUUUUUUUGUCAGGUCCGUCAUGAAAGUUGUUUUGAUAAAAAGAAAUUAAAAGGAUAAGUUGAACCAUAGACCAUCUGAUUAACACUUCACACGCUGUUUUUAUUAUUAAACCAAGUUAUAUAAUUGGAAUUAGAUUCUCUGCUUACCGCCACACACAGAAAGUUUUGCAUCACAAUCCAUUCAUGACAAACUACGUCCUUCUGUUUGGCCUCAAGUAAAAAGUUGGUGUCAUUAUAUUUUGUUUAAUUUCAUUUUCGUAAUUAUAUAUUUUAAUUAAUAAUAUUUCAAGAUUUUUGUAAUAUAUAAUUUAAUAAAUUAUUUUAAUCUUUUCUGAAUAAAAUUUUAAUAUUUUAAAUUUUUGUUUAGAAAUCACAAUUUAAUACUCCCUCCGUCCCAUUUUAAUCGACACUUAUUCCUUUUUGGGACGUCCCAAAAAGAAUUGAACCUAUUACACUUACUAUUUUUGAACACUGUUUUUCACUAUUACACUCACUCCUUCUUCCACUAUCUCUAUUCUAUAAUAAUAUAAACACUAUUACACUCACUUCUUUUCUUUCCUCCACUAUAUCAAAUUUAUUAUUAAAAUUUUGAUGGGUUCCAUCAUUUUACCAACUUUUCAACUAAUUUAAUUUAAUUUCUUUUACUAUUUUUUUCUUAAUCUCCGUGAAAGUCAAAGCAAUUCAAUCUUUUUGGGACGGAGGGAGCAUGUGUAUUGUGACCUGGCGAGAUUUUGUUGUCAAAACAUGAACGUAGCCCGGUUUUUGAUUUUGGUUUAGGCGGCAGUGAAUUGGGCUUCUACAAAAUAAUUGGGACCUUACCGGCUCAUCAUUAUUAUUUUUUAAAAGUUCUAGACAUACGUCAAAUAUUUGUUUUAAUUUUUAAAACUCAUACACUUUAAUUUACGAAACAAAUUUAUAAAACUUCUAUCGUAUUUCAGAAUUAAAAUAAACAAGAUUCAAUAUUGAUACCAAAGUACCAAAAAAAUUGGUCAUAUAUUUUUUAAUAGAUAAUAAUUAUUAUCAUUCAAUGUUUUUCAGAAUAUUGCGAUAAAGACGAAUAAGGCGGUGGUAACACUGACUUGAUGGAAACUUAAAAAAAAUAAGUCAUUGUCCAUAUUACAACAUAUAAUAAAAGAACCAAAACUCUAGACAUACGUCAAAUAUUCGUUUUAAUUUUUAAAACUCAUACACUUUAAUUUACGAAACAAAUUUAUAAAACUUCUAUCGUAUUUCAGAAUUAAAAUAAACAAGAUUCAAUAUUGAUACCAAAGUACCAAAAAAAGUGGUCAUAUAUUUUUUAAUAGAAAAUAAUUAUUAUCAUUCAAUGUUUUCCAGAAGAUUGCGAUAAAGACGAAUAAGGCGGUGGUAACACUAACUUGACAAAUGGAAACUUAAAAAAAUGAAGUCAUUGUCCAUAUUGCAACAUAUAUAAUAGAAGAACCGAAACUCUGGACAUACGUCAAAUAUUCGUUUUAAUUUUUAAAACUCAUACACUUUAAUUUACGAAACAAAUCUAUAAAAUUCUAUCAUAUAUCAGAAUUAAAAUAAACAAGAUUCGAUAUUGAUACCAAAGUACCAAAAAACUUGGUCAUUUAUUUUUUAAUAAUAAUUAUUAUUAUCAUUCAGUGUUUUUUAGAAGAUUGCGAUAAAGACGAAUAAGACGGUGGUAACACUGACUUGACAAAUGGAAACUUAAAAAAAAAAUGAAGUCAUUGUCCAUAUUGCCACAUAUAAUAAAAGAACCGAAACUCUAGACAUACGUCAAAUAUUCGUUUUAAUAUUUAAAACUCAUACAAUUUAAUUUACGAAACAAAUCUAUAAAAUUUCAAUCAUAUUUCAGAAUUAAAAUAAACAAGAUUCGAUAUUGAUACCAAAGUACCAAAAAACUUGGUCAUUUAUUUUUCAAUAAUAAUAAUUAUUAUCAUUUAGUGUUUUUCAGAAGAUUGCGAUAAAGACGAAUUAGGCGGUGGCAACACUGACUUGACAAAUAGAAACUCAAAGAAAAUGAAGUCAUUAUCCAUAUUGCAACAUAUAAUAAAAUAAUCGAAACUCUAGACAUACGUCAAGAUAUUUGAUAUCAAAUCAUUAUUCUACUUAUGAGUUAUAUUUUAGAACAUAUAUAAUGUUUAGUGAUUUAUAAUAUAAUUGUUUUAUCUUUUAAUUGCAACGAUUAUAUUGUAGAACAUAACCUGUAAAUUGUCAGAUGUUUACAAAUAUUAUAGAUUAAAAAAAUUAAAAUUGAAACGAGUAGAGUAUUUUUAAAUAAUUUUGGACAACAAUACUCUUAUCUUGUGGACUCCAUAGAUUAGGGACCCAUAUUAUUAUGACAUAAAUUUAAAGUAUGAUCAAAUUUUAAUAAUUAGAAAAUCUUAUAUUAAAUAACAAUAAUUUAAAUAUCAUUUAAAAAUAAUAAUUUAAAUAGGUAUAAUAAACUUGUUAUAAGAAAUCAAUACCCUUUAUUAAUAAGCGAAACCACUUUUCGGUGGAACAUCGGUACCAAAAGUACCAAAAUUUGGUCACUUUCAUAUUGAUUAGGAUUUUAUAGUCAUUGUUAUAUUAUUAUUAAAAGACUUUUAUAUUGAAUAGAAUUUUAUUAUUAAAGACCUCAAUAUUCAUUAGGACACUGAAAGACUUCUGUAUUGAUUAGAAUUUUAUUAUUAAAAACUUCAAUAUUUAUUAGGACAAUGUAAUAUAAAUUUUUUAUUUAAUAACAACAAUCAUUAUAGAAUUAUGAAAAGAUUUUCAUAUUAUUAAGAUUUUAUACUUAUUAUUAUACAUUUUUAGGAUUUUAUAAUUAUUAUUAUACAAUUAUGAAAAGACUUCUAUAUUGAUUCGGAUUUUAUUAAUAAAAAUUUCAAUAUUGGUUAAGAUUAUUAUACUAUUAUAAAAAGACUUCUAUGGUGUUUAGGAUAUUGUAAUAUAACAUUUAUCAUUUAGGAUUCUAUAAUUAUUAUUAUACAAUUAUGAAAAGACUUCUAUAUUGAUUCGGAUUUUAUAAAUAAAAAUUUCAAUAUUGGUUAAGAUUAUUAUACUACUACAUAAAAAGACUUCUAUGGUGUUUAGGAUUUUGUAAUAUAACAUUUAUCCUAUUCGCACAGUUAAAUCUCGCUAACAAUUUAACUUAUGAAACAGUUCUAUAAAAUUCAUAUAAAAAAUUGGCUAUCAUCAUAUUAAUUUUUAUUUAACAAUUAUUACUAUUAUCAAAAAAAACUUCUAUAUUUGACAGGAUUUUUUAUUAUAACAAUUAUCUUACUAAUAAAAAUAUGUUACCAACAAAAUUAUUUGUUUUAAUUUUUUAAAACUCAAAUAAUUUAAUAUACGUAACAACUCUAUAAAUCUUUUAUCAUACUUCAGAGUUCAAAUAAAUAGGGAGCGAGUUCUAUAAUAUAAUUAAAAAAGACAUUAUUAUUCUAAUAAAUAACAAAUUUUAAAAUUUUAUUUAAACCCAAAUAAGCGAAACCACUUUUCGGUGGAACAUCGGUACCAAAAGUACCAAAAUUUGGUCACUUUCAUAUUGAUUAGGAUUUUAAUUACGAAACAAAUUUAUAAAACUUCUAUCGUAUUUCAGAAUUAAAAUAAACAAGAUUCAAUAUUGAUACCAAAGUACCAAAAAAAAUGGUCAUAUAUUUUUUAAUUGAUAAUAAUUAUUAUCAUUCAAUGUUUUCCAGAAGAUUGCGAUAAAGACGAAUAAGGCGGUGGUAACACUAACUUGACAAAUGGAAACUUAAAAAAAUGAAGUCAUUGUCCAUAUUGCAACAUAUAUAAUAGAAGAACCGAAACUCUGGACAUACGUCAAAUAUUCAUUUUAAUUUUUAAAACUCAUACACUUUAAUUUACGAAACAAAUCUAUAAAAUUCUAUCAUAUAUCAGAAUUAAAAUAAACAAGAUUCGAUAUUGAUACCAAAGUACCAAGAAACUUGGUCAUUUAUUUUUUAAUAAUAAUUAUUAUUAUCAUUCAGUGUUUAUUAGAAGAUUGCGAUAAAGACGAAUAAGACGGUGGUAACACUGACUUGACAAAUGGAAACUUAAAAAAAAAAUGAAGUCAUUGUCCAUAUUGCCACAUAUAAUAAAAGAACCGAAACUCUAGACAUACGUCAAAUAUUCGUUUUAAUAUUUAAAACUCAUACAAUUUAAUUUACGAAACAAAUCUAUAAAAUUUCAAUCAUAUUUCAGAAUUAAAAUAAACAAGAUUCGAUAUUGAUACCAAAGUACCAAAAAACUUGGUCAUUUAUUUUUCAAUAAUAAUAAUUAUUAUCAUUUAGUGUUUUUCAGAAGAUUGCGAUAAAGACGAAUUAGGCGGUGGCAACACUGACUUGACAAAUAGAAACUCAAAGAAAAUGAAGUCAUUAUCCAUAUUGCAACAUAUAAUAAAAUAAUCGAAACUCUAGACAUACGUCAAGAUAUUUGAUAUCAAAUCAUUAUUCUACUUAUGAGUUAUAUUUUAGAACAUAUAUAAUGUUUAGUGAUUUAUAAUAUAAUUGUUUUAUCUUUUAAUCGCAACGAUUAUAUUGUAGAACAUAACCUGCAAAUUGUCAGAUGUUUACAAAUAUUAUAGAUUAAAAAAAUUAAAAUUGAAACGAGUAGAGUAUUUUUAAAUAAUUGUGGACAACAAUACUCUUAUCUUGUGGACUCCAUAGAUUAGGGACCCAUAUUAUUAUGACAUAAAUUUAAAGUAUGAUCAAAUUUUAAUAAUUAGAAAAUCUUAUAUUAAAUAACAAUAAUUUAAAUAUCAUUUAAAAAUAAUAAUUUAAAUAGGUAUAAUAAAAAUAUAAUAAUAUAAUUAAAAAAGACAUUAUUAUUCUAAUAAAUAACAAAUUUUUAAAAUUUUAUUUAAACCCGUGCUUGGCACGGGCUAUCAACUAGUAAGUAAUAAUAGUGAAAAAACAUAAUUAAUUAAUUAUAAUUUUCUGUAAAGCUUUUUUUUUAUUAGUAAAAUAUUGUCUAUUAUAAUAAAAUUAAUUAGUUCUUACUAAAAAUUCAUAAAAGAACCUUUUUAAGUUUCUAUAUCUCGCCAAAUUUUUAGAAGAUUUAUUUUUUGGAUAAAAGUCAGAAGUAUCAAAAUUUGACAAUUUAUCUUUUCCAUAAAAAACUAUGAUUAAUUCACAUAAAAAAAUAAAAGAAAUUCCAAGCAAACGUGAUAGGGUCGUCAUCCAAUUAAUUUAAACAAAAGCAUUGUAUGAUCUAAUAUGACUGUUAUAGAAGCUGUCUAUUCUAUCCGGUGCGAUAGGUUCACAGUUAAUUCAAUUUCGGAUUUUGUUACAACUUACCAUCUCUAAACUAGGAAAGCAUCUCUACAUUUUCUGCAAGUUCAUAUACACAUUUGUUAUUAAAAUUACAAACUCAAUCUCAUAAUUUCAUCACCAAAUGGAUGUGUAUUUUGAGACCCGAAUGGGGAAACCAUUUUGCAUUGAAAUCGGCUACUUCGAUACUGUUCUUGAAAUCAAAGAAAAAAUCCAGAAAUAUCAAGGCAUUCCAGUCUCUAAACAGACCCUGAUUUUCAAGGGCCAGUAUCUUGAAGAUGGACGUGACGUGGAAUAUUGUGAAAUUUUUCAUAAUUCUCGAAUCCAGCUCAUGUUGACACCAGACGCUACUGUGAAGCUCGAGGACUCCCCUGCAAAGACGUCGAAAAUGCAGGUUCUGGUACGGAUGGCCUCGUCGAAAAAACAAGUGGAGGUGGACGUGGAGGACAGUAUUAUGCAGUUGAAGGAGAAAAUUUUGGAAGUAGGAGGUGCGGCUCUGAACGGGAGAGAUUUUUCGGUUUUUUUGCAUGGGAAUGAGGUGUAUGAGAAUAAGUUCGUACGAGACUACGAAAUUAGUGAUAAUUCGGAGAUUGAUGUUUUGGUUAAGCCUUUGCAGCAUAGUAGUGUGACCACACUGGCACCUGCAACAUCUGGGGGCGCUAAUUCUAAUUCUAAUUUUAAUUCAAAGAAAUUGAAGAUUUUUGUUUCGACGCAGUGUGGCACGAAUAAAAUUCCGGUGGAGAUCAAUGCGUCUGAUAUCGUGGAUGAGCUGAGGAGGGAGCUCAGGAGGCUACAAGAGGUCCUUCAUUUUAGUCUUCCUCCGGAGGGAUAUUUUUUUAUUUACAAACAGAAUGUGAUGGAGGAUGAUAGAUCUUUCAGAUGGCACCAUGUUUGUAAUGGGGACAUGAUCGAAAUCUUCAAUGGGAGUGUUACUGGUGGAUCAUCUUGAGGUCAUUUAAGUAGGUAAUAUUGGUUAGUGUUUGUUCUAGCGUACUCAGAUCUUUCAGAAAUAAGAGUUGGUUUGAGAUCUCUGUGAAAAUUAAGAAUGUGACUAGUUAAUUUUAUUUUUUAAUUUCAGUUAGAUAUGGUGAACUUGGUUUUUAGUUCUGUUAAAUUUAAAAUAUUUAUCGAAUUUGUCUUGUUUGAUGUAACAUAUAUGUUCUUGUUAAUGAUUUUGCAAAACUCGAGUACACUAUCCAAAAUUUGAGUAUAUACUCGAUCUCAAUUUACAUGUCCCUCUCGGUUGGACGUUAAAAAUGGAUAAACCGUAAACGCCAUCAGGUAUGGAAUGGUCCUCCUCGAGACCUCGACCCCAUGAGAAUUUGAGAGAUUACAAGAAGUUCCAACCACCUAAAUCAGGAAUUUUAUCCCAUGCAUAAGUUAAUUAUAUCUGCUUUGGUAUUAGUACUUUCGAAUCGUGCAGCCAAUUUGAGACUGUGAACCCGGAUACUCUGUAGUCGACAGCAUAGCUUAUAUUUCAUUUUGCAAGAUGCUAGGAGAUUUGCAGAAUAAUUGUUUAGGUAAUUAGGAUGGAAUCAUGGAACAGAAUAAAAAUAGAGAAGAGCUUGGAUUUCUUUAAUAGGGAGAAAGAAGAGGAAGGAGCUAGAAACUGAGAAUUACAGGAAUAAAACUUCAAAUAUUUAAAAAUUAAAACUUUUACUGUGUUUUAAAUUUAUUCUCACUCUCUAGUGUGCAUUAAACCUUCUAGUAACAGAGUGAAUAAUAAUUAACUUAACUAAAAGUUAAUCAUUGGAUGUAAAAUUUUCAAAAUUUAAAAUAUCCAUUUACUUGAAAAUCAAAUAUCAUUUAAAAGAGUUAUAAAUCGUGAUUGCUGUUACAAAAUCGCUUCUGUUAAUAAAAUCUAAGAUUACUAUGCAUAAAUAAUUCAAAAUUAUUAAUGAUGUCAAUAAAUAAUAAAAUGUCAUUAAUAUGAUUACAGUUACAAAAUCAUAGCUAUUAAUUAUAUGUUAUUUUCUAUUUUAGUAUUGUUCAUUACAAGGUUUCAAUAUUUUCCAAUAUUCUUAUGAUUAAUAUCCAUGAUCCUAGCUUUCCAUGAUCAUCUAUUUAUAGGUUACAUCCCUCAUUGUUCAAGUCAGAUACUCACUUACAACACAUUUUAUUCUGCAGUGACCAUCAUCUAGAAUAAUGACACAAGAACAAGUUUUUCCUAGUCCAGAAACAACAUCAUUGAGUGAAAAGCCAAAGAACCAUAGGAUUUUUAUCAUAGCUCAACUCAUUCUUAGAGCUUUGGUUCCUUUGUUUACUCUAGCUGCAAUCAUUAGAACAAUCACAAGUGCCCAAAUAACUAUGGUACCAGAUGGUGGUAGUUUUGGUGCCCGAUACUCAUACUCAUCUGCACUAAGGUAAUCUGCUUCGUUUUCUUUAUUCGAAACUAAUCAUGUUGCCAAAGAGAUGAAAAAUAUGUGUUUUUGUCUUGCAGGUACAUGGUAAUAGCCGAUAUUGUAGUAGGCGUUUCUUGUUUCCUUUCGCUGAUACUGGUGUUUGUGUGUUUCAUAUAUCCAAAAUGGAACAUCAGAAUCAAAAAUUAUGUCUACAUAUUCUUGCAUGAUCUGGUAAGCACCAAUACCCAGCUAGCCAAUUUGGUUUAAGUGGUUUUUUUAGACCAAAUAAUUCUAUUACUUGACGAGAAAUAUCAUCACAUUGUCAAUUUAACAGGUUUUGUUGCUCCUAAUAACUUCGGCAACUUCAGCCGCAAGUUCUAUUGGAAUGUUAGCUCUUCAUGGCGAAUCAAAGAUAGGAUGGGUAGCCAUUUGUAUCAGUUAUCCAAAGUUUUGUCACAGAAUCAUAUUGGGAGUUGUAUUGUCAUACAUGGCUCUUUCUUGCUUGUUCAUUCUCACGAUCUUGGGGCUUUUAACCAUUCAUCUUCCUUCCCUCUUUGAGUGAACAAUGAAGGUCCUAUGAGAUUUGAAAUAAUUUCUAGAAUAUAUAGAAAGGCAACAAUAAAAUUUCCGAGUCAAUGUGUAACAAUUUCCUUUCUUUCUAGAUGUAUAUACUCUAUGUCAUAGUUGAUUUCAUAGUUUUGAAAAUUUAACCUAUCAAUAAUUUGUAAUGGAGUUUCUUAUCAUGGAAUGUUUGAGUAGUUUCUAAUAAUUUAUGGUUUACAAAAGAGUGAUGAAUUUGACUCUGCAAAUUGGCAAUCUUUGGGUUUGAGUGUCAACUAGAAAACUCAUGCAACAUUUGUAAUCCCCUGCAACUUGAGUCUACUCAGAGAAGACAAUAUAAGAUAUAUCCAGAAGAAUUGAUGCCCUCACUUUUCAUGCUCCAGUGUGCAGCUGAACAUCUAAGACUUUCUUAAUGCAGCCCAGGAAUCAUGUUGUUGAGAUUCUUUAUUGCGGGGGCCUGCGCAUAAAGAACAAUUAUAUUGAAUUCUUAAAACUACGAUGACUUGAGGGAAGUUUUUAUGUGAUAUUAUAGUUUUUAUAAGUCUAAAAAUAGAUGUAAAAAAAUUCACUUGCCAAAAUAACACAAACACGUGAAACCUGGUUAUAAGAACAGCAAGGUGAAAGUUCAUAAAGUAGCCUUCUUGUGACAUCUUAGCAACAACAACAGAAUUUUGAUGGGGUCAUGAUGGUUCUGUGUCCUUGUUGAAGGUGCAUCAGACCGUCGUAGUUGCAAUUUGCAGCCAUGAAAAAAAAGUUGCAUGAAGUAUUAAACUUCAGACACAAAACACAUAUAUAAGAGUACUUCAGAAUAUAGUACCAGCUUAGUGAUGCUCCUUUGCUCCAAGGUGUUUUUAUUUGAUGAACAACAUAAACUCCUUUCAUGUAUGCUUGAUAGUGGUUUCCUGUCGAUUAGCUGCAAUGAGCCUGACGAAUGUAUAUCUGGCAACAUAUACUCCACAGUGUUUAUGUUUAUACAUUUUGGAAGUCGGCUCAUAUUUACAAAAUAGACUUCUUCAUGGAAUUUAAGAGCUUCACAGCAUAUAUGUGAUUCUGAAGAAUGUUUAUUCUGACCUUUUUUUAGAAGGGGGAUAGGUAUAACUGAUAUUGUUCUGCACCAAGCAAUUCAAAUUAAUGAUACUGACCACCAUUUGUGUAGAGCUACUUUUGAAUUUAUGAACUUUUGACAGACAAUGCCCAAGCGACUCAUGGAGGAAAUUACAGAGCUGUUUAAGAAUCAGCGGCAUACAAACACAACAGGAAACAACACAGUACCAGGAACAGAGGACUUGCCAACCUACUACACAAAGGCAAAUUGAAUGUCACCACUAAAAUGGAUGGUGCCAUACUUCUUGCUUCUUUUCCCCUCUAACGACACAAAUUUUUAGUAUUUUGGCUUUUUUAAUGAUAUAAAGUUAAAUGUAUUGGAGAUUGGCUCUGAUGACACUCGGACUAUUGUUAUUUUAACCACGGAUACUCCAACCAGGAAAUUUGCUACCAGACUCUAACUUUCUAACAAAGAUAAGUCCAUUUCAAACACUGCAAUCUCUGAUGUUGGGAAGUUUCUUUCUUAUUGGAGCGCAUUUAGCAAGAAAAGACAACACAUCCUAGUAGAGGGCCGGAUAAGUAACUAUAGCCAGAAAUUUUAAUCAUCUUCCAACAGAUCUACUUUUUCUGAGCAUUAAUGAAUCAGUCAAUCAGUUCGCGGGACAGCUUGCUAUCACAUAUAAAUGAACUUAAAAGCUGUUUCUGUGUGCCUCCUAAUUCUGUGUUAACCAACCCAAAUUAGCUGAGUUUCACACAUGUUUAAAGUCUCCUGAUUUCGGUUUCUCCGUUUUAAGGUAGAACUUGAUCAUGAUUUUUUUAAGCACACACUUGUGUAGUCUUUUUUUUUUUCUUUUCUCUUGAGUUUUCACCUCCAGUUUCUUCAUGUUUCCUUAAAAUGUUCUUUAUUUCAUGUUAUACAUAUACUAGGAUUGUUGAUUAGAAUGGCCACCUAUAACCUUGUUCCUUUACAACGUCUGAAUCUCCGCAGAAACAUUUUCUGCAUUCUGACGCCAUUAACACUCACAGGCAUUAAGCAGUACACAAAUGCCAAAUAUCAGUGAACUUCACAAAUAAACGUUUUACUAGCUCCGGCUAUUAGACCAAUCGACAAACUCAGUAACUUAAUCGAAAUUCUCCACAAGUACUUCAGCACACAUUUAGGCUCUCACUUUCCAAAAGUGGCUACACUUGUCCAGAUAAUUUACGUGUUCAUUUUGGCGGAUAGACUUGCAGGACACUUUCAACAGUUAACCAAGCUGCAUUGCAGUUCCAUGGCGUAUUAUUCAGUUCCUCCGAGGAACAGGUAUGCGAGAUCAUUUCCGGAAAUAGAAACCUUUAAGAUUUAAGGUUAUCGCCUGUUUCCCAUUCGAGUUUAGGAAAGUUUCCGAGGGCAAAUUUUCGAUGCAGAAGUGCAGUGCCGAUAGCUUAUCUAGCAAGAGCCACUGAAAGUUCCCUCCAAUUCUUUAAUAAUUUAUCAUACAAAAUUUUAGAGAAUUAAAUUUUAUCCCGAUAAAAUUUAAAAAUAUAUAGAUAUUUUUUGAAAAUUUGUUUGUCGCUCGUGUGGACUCGUAUAGUUGAUUGUUGUGACUUGUGAGUCUUGUGACAGUGUCUUAGCUGAACGCUCCUGAUUACAGAUUAGAAAUGCAGAAAAGUAUGAUGUGUAAAGAAAAUAAAGGUAGCAUGAAUCACAUUAUCUAUGAGGCCCAUUUACUUGAUGAAUCUAGUACAAAUCCCUAAAUGUGUUUUUCUCGCUGGGACCCAUCUGUACCUAAGUUGAUGUUUUUUGUUUUGUGUAAUAAGGAGAAUAUUACAAAGUAUUAGAGUAAUCAUAAUUGGUUAGUUGCCAAUUUAUCAAUCACACAUAUUAACGUAAGAAGUUAAAAAAUUCAUAGAUUACGCAAAGUAGUAGACUAUGUUAUAAUUAACAACUGAUGAUUAUCACUUCAUCAUUACAUAUCAUGUAUUGUAUGGAUAAUAAUACGGUUUUUACGGUUUUUCUAGUGUGCUUAUGACAUAUGUUAAGCGUCAAAUUUUGUAAGUUUGGGUUGGGAGAUUUUGAUUGUUCUUAUAUCGUAACAAUCAUACUAAUCAAAAUCCUUUAAACAUAUUAAAUUUUACACUUAGCAUGUGCCAUUAGACAAACUCAUAAUAAUAUAACAGAUACUUCCUCUAUUUUGAUUUGACAAGCGUUUUAAAAUUCUGAUCAUUAUUUUCAUAAUAAUAAUUCGCAAUUUUCAAUACCAAACACUAGUUAUCGUUCUGGUCCUAUUUAAUGUUUAAUUUCAUUUUAAUUUUGAUAAUUAUAUAAUGAUUGUUGUGUUGAACUACACAUGACAUAAAAGAUGAUUUUUUCGAUAUAAAUUAUAAUUCAUCUGAAAAAUUAUUUCUCGUUAAUAUAAAAAUCUUAACCGAUUGUCAAAUCAAGAUAAAGGGAAUAAAAUAUUAAAAAUUUGUAAUAGGUGUCAUUUUUAAAAAAUAUUAUAUAUCUUAUAUAAUUUAAUUAUUAACAGAUAUAAUCAAACGUAUUUAUUUAAAUGAGUCUACUUACUUAGAGCAAGUCCAACAAUGUCCUAGUUAGAGCCCCAAAUAUAAUAUAAAAUAUGAUGUCCUAGUGAUUUAGGACAGGGUUCCGUAAAUUCAACUCCAACAAUGUGCCUUAUUUUCAAUAUAUGUUUAAUAUUUUAUUAUUAAAGUCUUCCUUUCAUCAUCAAAACACAAUAUAAAGUAGAGAGAGAAAGAGGGUGGAUAUAAAAUUUUAUAUUAAAAUAUUGGAUAGAGCAAGGAGAGAGGUGCCCUAUUAAUAGGGCUUGAAGAGAUUGUCCUAGUGAUAUAAGGCAUCACUAGGACACUCUUGAAUCAACAUUUUUCAUCAAGUGCCUUAAAUUAUAACUUAAGACAAGUUAUAGGGCUUCUCUUGGACUUGCUCUUACAUACUUAUUUCUUUUCUUCAUGAUGUCUACGAUAUAAAUCCUCCUCUUAGAAAAAUAAUAUUACAUUUAAUUAUAAUAUAAUUAUCAUUAAAAUAUUUGGUUUUGGGCAAUAUGAGGGUAAAUUUGUUAAUUCCUAUUAUACGAUUAUUUCCCACAUUUUUAUGCGAGAUAAAUAUGUAUUACAUAUAUAAAUAAAAAUAUCUCGAUCACACUUAUUCAUCAUAUUAUUACAUUUUAAAAAAUCAUAAAAUUUAAAAUAUGACGUAUAAUUGUUUUCUUGAUAUCUCAUCAUCAAUCUUCGUAUUUUCAAAAAACUUAUAUCAGGAUUUACCGACACAUAUCUUCUCCAUUUUUUUCCGAAAUAAAGAUAAUUAAUUCUUACAUUAAAUGUUAAAUCAAUGUGCAACAAAAUGUGAAGAGAGCGAAGAAUUCUAGUUUCUUAAAAACCGGAAAACCUGGAGGCACCAAAAGCUCACAAAACCAUCUCCACCAAUCCCACCUUCCCCGACAUAUACAUACACCUAUACACACAAAUCAAUCGUACGGACACAACAAAUUUAAUCUCCUCUCCCUUCUCCUAUGGCGGUGGAGAUUUCGACGCCGAUGGUAGAGUUGACCGCAACGACCAUCGACAUUGUAUUAGCACUCGCUUCCUUCAUUCUCCUCCUCUUCGUCCUCGUUCUCUUCUUCUUUCUCCUCUUCUUCUUUUGUAAGCCUUGGCGUCUCUUCUCUUCUCGCUUCUUUCAUCGCUCUUCCACUCGUGCAGCUCCUUCUCGCGCGAUCAAGGUCCUAUACUUACAUCUAUUUUGUAUCUAUACUUUGUUGCCAAUCAGUUAUGACAUGAAACUUUUAAUUGGUCCGAUAUGUGAUUUUGAUUGAUAUUACUGGUUAUGCCUGAUGUUAUUGUGUGUUUGAUUUGUCGGAUUAGGUUUUGUGAUUGAUCGAGUUUUUGAAUUUUUAAGAAUGGAGAACUGGCAAUUAAUUAUGUCAGUUAAAAUGUCAUAAUAAAUGUAUGACUAUACUCUGCGGAUGCUAUAUAGAAAUGAUUUAUUAAGAAAGUGCCACUUGUUCAGCUAAUUGCUGAGUUUAUUAAAGUGGCUAGAUAUAUGUUUAUUAUUGGAUUGUAUUUAAUGAGUUUUGGAAUCUGUAAGAGCUAAGUGCUUACUGUGCGCAACUUUUAAUUGGAAUAUAUAAUCUGUAUUAUCUGGAAGAUCGAUUUGUGAUAAUUGUGCAAUUUUUUAUGAUUUGUAUGUGACGUUGUAGACUUGCGGUGUGGUUUGUCAAUAAUAUUGAUUAUGGUUUACUGUUUUGAAGAUGUAUAACUGAUUUAUGCCUUGUGAUAGGCUGAGGAUUUAGAGAGACCACUUGUAUCAGAAGAUUUAGACCGUAACAGUGAGGUAGCUAGGAGUUAUGACCUAGAGGGGGCAUCUACUCAGAUUGAAGGGCAUUUUAGCUCGCCACGAACCCAAGGGCUUGCUUUUAAACACAGGCCGCCCUCACCUCAGCAUUCUCACAGUAUGUAAUUCUAUUAUUCGUUGUUGUUGUUUUUGCUGUCUUGCCUUUUAUUACCUAGAGUCAUGGUAUAUAGUACAAUCUCUUAGUCAUAAAUGCCUGAUCAGUACUGAAGCAUUCUUUAUUUUACACUUUUUCAGGUGACAGCUUAAUUCUGGACAUACCGGAAGAUACUUCAGUUGGUCAGACUCUAAAGCGUCCUUCCCUGACAAACAUAUCUGGUGAUCUGCAGAAAUUAGCAGAAGAUUUAAGCCAUGACUCAGAGUUUGUUUCGGAAGAUAAACCUAAUAAGUCUGUCCCGAAAUCUACUUUGGAUCAAAGUAAGUCCUGCUUCCCUCACUUCUAUAUCAAUUCGUUUUGUUUGUCAUCAAAAUAUAUUGAUAUUGUAACAACUAUUCAUACCUAAAGGGAAUAGAAGAAAAUGUAGUAAAUUAUGCACAUUGUGUGUCAUCAAGUAGAUAUAUGUGUGGUAUGAUAUGCCUGUGUUCUGUUAAUUGGUGGAAGAGGUAAACUCGUCAUCAUAUUUUUUCUGUUAGAAGUGCAGGAAGCAUUCUAAUGUUGGAGGUUAUAUCUGGUCCUUCACGUGGUCUCCGUUAUUCCACACAUUCAACAAAUAAAUCUGGGCUUCCGCUUACUCUUGGAAGAGUUUCUCCAAGUGCUUUGUUACUGAAAGAUUCUGAAGUUUCAGGAAAGCAUGCGAUGAUAAACUGGAAUUCAAAUGUAAUUUUCUUAAAUGCUACACCAUUUAAUAUAAGAAUGAUGUACUUUGUCUGUAGAAUGACUAUUUUCUUUUUAAUUCUGCAUAUGUUUGCAGAAGUUAAAAUGGGAGUUGGUUGACAUGGGUAGUUUGAACGGAACGUUAUUAAACUCCCAGUCUAUAAACCAUGCUAAUUCUGGGAGUAGAAAGUGGGGUGACCCUACUGAGCUUGCAAGUGGAGAUAUUUUAACUCUUGGGACUACUUCAAAGAUAUUGGUAAGUGUUUCCUCGCGUUGUUUUUGCUCUUUGUGCUGAACUGAAAUUUUAAUGAAAUGGUAUAUAAUAUUAUUGCGCAAGGGGAUAAAACUUUGUGGGUAGUUGGGUUGUGUGAAUUAUCAUGUACAUAAGUUCCUUGGAUUUGGAAUGACAUUUGCUAGCUGUAUUUCCUUAAUAUCCCAAUUGUGAGAAUUACUUUUUUAUCAUUCAGUUGGAAUCAUUUUAAUUCUUGUAGUACUCAUAAAAGUAAAUGUAUAUACCCUAAUCUUGUUGUAGUAGAAAGCUUAAAGAUCUUAUUUGGGUUGAGGAGAAAACUCUAUUCUUACAUGCAAAUGAGAAAUCGUUAUUGAUUUAGCCACCUCCGUGGGAGUAGAGCUAUUGAUUCCAAUGAACUUGUAAUAAUAUGUUAAGUAUGUUUACAUAAUAUGAACACUUAAACUUUAUACUUUGUCCCCACUGAAUUAUUUAAUGUAUUGAGAUGUUUUUUUAAAAAUCUAAUUUCAGGCUGCGCCAAUAAACAUUAUUCUAAGUACCAUAAUCAGACUAUGCAAUUAUUAUUUGAAUUUUGAUGUUUUUGAUCCAAGAUUAAAUUGUCUAGUGUCUAUUUCAUGUCCAAUAUCUAGUUUGCGAUAUGAAUACUUAAGGUAUCAAUGUCAACUAACAGUCAGGUGGUAUGGAAUUUGACCUUGAAACAGUGGAUGUGCUACGAUAACUGAUUUUGUAGUCUAUUUUUACAUCUUUGUCCUUGAAAUUUUGCAGGUUCAGAUAACAUCUCAAACUGAGCAGAUUCCUUUUGGAGUUGGUGUAGCAUCGGAUCCCAUGUCUUUGCGUAGAGGAGGAAAAAAGCUGCCUAUGGAAGAUGUUAGCUAUUACCAGUGGCCUCUUCUUGGGAUUGAUAAGGUGUAGUAACAUAUAGAACCUUUUGUCGUUGAAAUAUCUGUUAUAAAACAAGCCUAAUUUCUUUGUUGAUGAUAACGCAGUUUGGUCUGUUUGGCAUUUGUGAUGGACAUGGCGGAGCAGCAGCAGCUAUUUCUGCUAGCAAGUUAGUAUUACAUUUUCCUUUUUGGCGAUUUUACUUUGGCACAAUUAACAAAGUUUUGACAAUGCAUGUUUGGCCGCUGAAAAACAUUCUUUUUUGUUGUGAUCUUUCUUAUAUUAAUUUUAUACACAUUGCAAAUUCAGCACCAGCUGCCUAGCUUAUGUGGGCAGCAAAGUGCUAAGCUCCCAGACUGGUUUCAUUAGCUUUGUUUCUUGGCCAUGUUUUGAGUUGUGACAUUAUUAAUGAUAACAUUUGAGUGCAUACUUCCUGAUCACUUCUAUCAGCUGGCAAGUGAGGAAAAACUCUGUAGUAUCUUCCACCAUGCGGCUAAACUGACUUUAGAUAAAAUUAUAUACAGAUUAUUGCGAGAGAUAGUUGGUGAUAUCCUAGCAGACUCAGUUAAAAGAAAAAAGAUCUUAACAAAGUGUGAUGCAUCAGAUGUGCUGCGAGAAGCAUUUACUCAAACCGAAGCAUGCAUGGACCACUACUAUGAGGUUUUUCUCUCAUUGGCCUUGACUUAAUUUGUUAUUUUUUUUUCUUGAUUUAGUUGACAUAUGGAUUCUCCUAAUGGCCUUUCUUUAUGGUAAUUGCACUUAUUCCUCUUUUUUCAGUUAUGUUCAUAAUAUACCACACCAAACCUGACCAGUAUUAUAGUCAACUUUUCUCCUAAAAGGUCAAGGUGUUGGGAGGACUUAAUAUGAUGUCCUAUUAUGUUUAAGACUCCCUCACACUUGAAAGCCCGUUUUUGGGUCAGGAGUCGGUCAGUAGGAGCCCUUUUUGGGAUGAUAAAUGUCAUAAUGUGAUGCCUAAAUUAAUUAUGAGAAUAGUUUCUUUAAGAGGGAAUCGAGUGCUCUGAUGCCAUGUUAAGUUACCAACACUCCAACAGUUUGACUAGAUUGCGAGGAGGGCUUAUUAGGAUCCCACAUUAUAUUUAGGAAUUAUUUAUGGGAGGUUAAGAUGUACACAAAUUCUACCGCUACUUUAAGGAGUACAAUUGUUUGGAUCCGUGAAGUACCUUGUCAAAAAAAUUGGGUACUUAAGAAACAUGAUGAAAAACUGAAGAAAAACUAGCUAAAAAACAUGCAAAUAUUACUACAUAUUGAAUGUUGAUUGAAGGUACAAGAAGCCUCCUUAUGCAAAGGACAACAUACUUAUGCAAAAGACAACAUAAACACAAGUAUCUGUGCAAGAUGUGACACUACGUGUACAAAAAUUUGGGGGUGCUAAAAAGUACUCCCUCCGUCCCCUCCAAUUCUUAUCGUUUGGAGGGGACUCCUCGACACGCAUUUUAAGGCUCAUGAAAAAUAUGGUUCUAUAACAUAUUUUUAAAAUUUUCUUUUUCCGAAUAAAAGUUUAAUGUUUAAAUUUUUAUUCAGAAAAAGAAAAUUUUAAAAAUACGUUAUGAAACUAUAUUAUUUAUGAGCCUUAAAUUGCGUGCCGAGUACUCCAUUUCAAAUGAUAAGAAUUGGAUGGGACAGAGGGAGUAUAUUUUUCUUAUCAAAAUUAUACUUUUUUUUGCUAAUAAAUUAUUCAGUAUGGCUGUAUAUACCUGUGUCAUUUUCUUAAGUCUGUAAAAAAUUUGUUAUUUCCAUGAGAGUCAGUUUGUCCUAAAUAAAAAUGCUUGUGGUUAAAUUCACAAAAUUCACAUGCUGCAUUAUCUCAUUCUUAUCUGGGGUGCAGUUGUGCCCUAGAUUGCUGUUUAAAAUGAUAUUCUGGUAUGUCAUCCUUUUUAAUCUUACAUCUAUAGUAAACUAAUUGUGUCUUCAGGGUUGUACUGCAACAAUGCUUAUGGUGUGGACUGACGAUCAUGAAAAUUACUUUGUGCAAUGUGCAAAUGUUGGAGACUCUGCUUGUUUUAUUAAGUAUGUACUACGUAGCCACUUGAUAAUAUAUGUUUAUCAAAUAUUGGAUCUUGUUAAAAUCCAGAGUAUCAGAUAUCAAUUAAUAUUGAUGAAAGUUUUACUGCUCAAUUUCUCUCUUGGACAGUAUUGAUGACAAGCAUAUGAAGAUGACAGAGGACCACAGGAUAACUAGUAUUUCUGAGAGACAACGCAUGCAAGCAACAGGAGAGCCUCUGAAAGAUGGGGAAACAAGAUUAUGUGGUGAUAACCUUUUUACCUUGACUUAUUACUUACCCUAUUCUGUAAACUUGAACAAACAACUAACAUGUUUUCUGUGAAUUCUUUCAGGUCUGAAUCUUGCUCGGAUGCUAGGAGACAAAUUUCUGAAGCAGCAGGAAGCUCGCUUCAGUUCAGAACCUUAUAUUAGUCAAGUCGCAUACAUAAAUCAAGCAAGCAGUGCUUUUGUAGUAUUAGCAAGGUGAUUUUUAACCCAUUGAUUUCUCCUCACUCAUUGCUUGGCAUAUGCUAUUGUCCCUUUGUUUUGGAAUUGAGUCACUUACAGAAAUAUCCUAUACUUAAUGUCUGAGGUUUGCACUUUGUUGGAGCUCUGAUGUGGUUUCUCAUAAUGUUAAAGUUAGGAAUUUGAAACUAAGUGAAUUACCCUUAAAGAUGAAAUAUUGAAUUUUAUUUUGUCUAUGUAACAUAUGUAAAUGCCAAUUGGCAUGUUUUAUACUGAUGGAAACUGAAUAUUGUUUCUAAAGCAUUCAUGCUUACCUGUUCAUCUAUCAUUGUUUAGUUUUAUUUACGCUGUGUGUGCUUUCUUUUCUUGACACCAUGUUUUUUGGCUUUCUGAGCAGUGAUGGUUUUUGGGAUGUUGUGAACUCCAGAAAGGCAUUUCAGCUUGUUCAUGAGGUACUUUAUCUCUUAGUUGAUUGAUUUGCUAAAUCUUAUAACUUUUUUGAUGUCUCGGAAAUUAUUACCUGCCACCCAAGUCCUAAAAAAUCUGGCAUCUUAAAUUUUCACAGGCAAGAGACAGAAGUGCCAAACAUGGAGAGAAUACUGCAGAAAAGGUUGCUAAUAUAUUGUUGGCAGAGGCUAGAACACAGCGUACAAAGGAUAAUACAUCUAUAAUAUAUUUAGAGUUUGGUAGCAGCAAUAUAGACAGUUUUCCAAAAUCAUGAUUCUCGGAGUAUUUAAAAGUUCUGUAAUUACAAAAUUUUCAGUUAGCUAUAUAUUAGUGUCAUAGUGUUAGUCUUUUUCCAACUAGUAAUACAAAAGAACAUAAAAAUCUUGAUCAAAGUUUACAUAUUUCUUACAAUGAGUAAAGUAUAAUCAGUGUAGACUGUAACUUUUGGGGGGUUUUGGAAAUACAAGAGCAAGUUCAGGAACUUUCCUAAAUGAGCUCCUAAAAGCAAGUCCAACAGUGUCCUAACAAGUGUCCUAUAUAUAUAAUAAAAAAUAAUGUCCUAGUGAUUUAGAACAUCAUUUUAAAGAUAACUCAAUGCCUUAUUAUUGUGCCUUAUUAUUUAAAUAAUAGUAUAUUUGAAUUAUUGUUGGAGGGAAGUGAAAAAGAGAGAGAAGAGAGGCGUGUUUGGAAUGUGAGUAAGCUAAUAUUUCAUUGAUAGAAUUGGUUUAGGGCAUACAUGAUUGUGCCUCAAAAAUAAGGUAUUUGUUAGAUGUCCUAAUGUUUUUAGGCACCACUAGGACAUUGUUGGAGCAUCAUUUUACUUCAAAUGUCUUAAAUUUUGAGUUAGGACAUGAUUUUAGGACACUCUUGGACUUGCUUUAAGCUCAAAUAGGGAUUUCAAUAGUGUCAAAUCACCGGGACAUCCUCAAAUACUACUCGGAGUAGUAUUUACCUUUUGGGAUGUACCAUCAUUUCUAUACAUUUCCAAAAUAGCAACUUUUUUUAAUAUAAAACACUACUACACCCACUACAUUCUCUCAUUAUCUCUAUUUUAUAAUAAUAAAAACACUAUUACACCCACUACCUUCCUCCACUAUCUUAAAUCUAUUAUUAAAAAAUAUAUGGAUCCCACCACUUUACCUACUUUCCAUUUAAUUUUACUCAUUUCUUACACUUUUUCUUGGUCUCCGUGUCCAAUCCCAAUGUAUAUAACUCACUGGGACGGAAGGAGUAGUAAUAUCCUAUUUUUAUAGAUAAUUACUAAGUACUUACUAGUCUUUUUCUUUUCUUGGAAAUGAACAAUUUAUUUUUGUCCCUUUUACACUCUCAGCCCCCACUAUUUUAUUUUAUACUUUCUACGAUUUUUAUCCUUGUUAUUUCUGCUUUACAAGUUCAAAUAUAUAAUUAUAAUAUAGGAUCGCGCUCAAAUAUUAAAUUAUUCAUAUCCUUCUUCAAUUUUAAUGCUUAUGGCUGACCUUCAAAUAUUAAAUCAUCCAUAUCCUUUAAUAAAUUUGUUCUUCAAUUGUUUAGUUAUAAAUUGCAUACUUAAUAGUACAAAAUAUCGUAUUUUCUGUUUGUCUUGUCGUACUGCGCAAGCUUUUUGUUCACAAUUUUUAUCAGUUAUAGUCAUAUACGUAAAACUUGAUAUAAAGCUGCAAAAAUCUAAAAAUAGAACGCACCUUGUAACCGAACACUUGGUUAUGUUUAUCAGGGAGAAUUAUCUGACAAAAAAAGUAAUGUCAUGUUAUAUUUAAAAUAUUUUUGAAUACAUACUAGUUGAUAACCCGUGCCAAGCACGGAUUUAAAUAAAAUUUUAAAAUUUGUUAUUUUUUGAAAGAAUAAUGUCUUUUUUUAAUUAUAUUAUCAUAUUUUUAUCAUAUCUAUUUAAAUUAUUUUUUUAAUGAUAUUUAAAUUAUUAUUAUUUAAUAUAAGACUUUCGAUAUAUUAAAAUUUGAUCCUACUUUAAAUUUAUUUCAUAACGAUAUGGGUACUCUAUCUAUGGAGUCCACAAAAUAAGAGUAUUGGAGUCUAAAAUUAUUUAAAAAUAAUCUACUCGUUUCAAUUUUAAUUUUUUUAGUCUACAAUAUUUGUAAACAUCGGACAAUUUGCAGGUUAUGUUCCACAAUAUAAUCAUUGGAAUCAAAAGAUAAAAUAAUUAUUUUAUAAAUCACUGAACAUUAUAUAUGUUCUAACAUAUAACUCAUAAGUAGAAUAAUGAUCUUAAUGAUUGUUAAUGUUGAAAAAUGUUAAUGAUUAUAUUUGAUAAUUAUAUAUUUAAAACUACUUAAAGAUGGUAAAUUAUAUAUAAAUUUGAAUAAUUAAAGAUAUUAUUUAUGAUUAAACUAAAAGAUUAUGACUGUUACUUAUUACGGCUUAAAUGCGGACUUUAUGAAACUUAACUCUAAUAGUAUGUUUUAUUUUAGUAAAAUUACUAUGUUGUUUGAUGAUUUUUAAAUUGUGAAAAUAAUAUUUAAGAUCAACACAUAUAAGCUCGCUUAUAGCGUCUUUAAUCUUGAACAAAAAUUUAGAAUUUUAAGUCGCAAUUAUUUUAUUCAUUUAAUAGGCAAACAUUAUAUAUAAUUCUAGUUGGAGUUUUUGUAGAUCUAAAAGUUGUUGUAGUUGUUUGAUAAACUAAUAUUGUAGCUUGACAAAAUUAAUUAACUUUUCAAAAGUAAUUUGAUAUCAAAUUUUUUGACGUAUGUCUAGAGUUUCGGUUCUUUUAUUAUAUGUUGCAAUAUGGACAUUGCUUUCAUUUUCUUUAAGUUUCAAUUUGUCAAGUCAGUGUUACCACCGCCUUAUUCGUCUUUAUCGCAAUCUUCUGAAAAACACUUGAAUGAUAAUGAUUAUUAUUAUUAAAAAAUAUAUGACCACAUUUUUUGAAACUUUGAUAUCAAUUGAAUCUUGUAUAUUUUAAUUUUGAAAUAUGAUAGAAAUUUUAUAAAUUUGUUUUGUAAAUUGAAUUGUAUGAGUUUUAAGAAUUAAAAUGAAUAUUUGACGUAUGUCCAGAGUUUCGGUUCUUUUAUUAUAUGUUGCAAUAUGAACAAUGACUUCAUCUUCUUUGAGUUUCUAUUUGUCAAGUCAGUGUUGCCACCGCCUUAUUCGUCUUUAUCGCAAUUUUCAGAAAAAUACUGAAUGAUAAUAAUUAUUAUUUAUUAAAAAAUAUAUAUAUGAUCAGGUUUUUUGGUACUUUAGUAUCAAUAUUGAAUCUUGUUUAUUUAAUUAUGAAAUAUGAUAGAAAUUUUAUAAAUUUAUCGGAAAUUAAAUUGUAUGAUUUUCAAAAAUUAAAACGAAUAAUUUCGUUGACAUUAUUAUUUUAUUGAUAGGAUAUUAUGUUAAUAUCAAUAUAAACUCCUUAUUUAUUUGAACUCUGAAGCAUGCUAAAAGAUUUAUAGAGUUGUUCCGUAUAUUAAAUUGUUUGAGUUUUAAAAAAUUAAAACAAAUAAUUUUGUUGGUAAUAUAUUUUUAUUAGUGAGAUAAUUAUUACAAUACAAAACCCUGUCAAAUAUAGAAUUUUUUUAUAAUAGUAAUAAUUGUUAAAUAAAAAAAUGAUGAUAGCCAAAUUUUGAUAUGAAUUUUAUAGAAUUGUUUCAUAAGUUAAAUUGUUAGCGAUUUAACUGUGCGGAUAGGAUAAAUGUUAUAUCACAAAAUCCUAAACACCAUAGAAGUCUUUUUAUAGUAGUAUAAUAAUCUUAACCAAUAUUGAAAUUUUCAAUAAUAAAAUCCGAAUCAAUAUAGAAGUGUUUCACUGUCAUAAUGAAUAUUGAGGUUUUUAAUUCUGAAAUAUGAUAGAAAUUUUAUAGAUUUGUUUCGUAAAUUAAAUUGUACUUAUGAGUUUUAAAAAUUAAAACGAAUAUUUGACGUAUGUCUAAAGUUUCGGUUCUUUUAUUAUAUGUUAAAAUAUGGACAAUGACUUCAUUUUCUUUGAGUUUCAAUUUGUCAAGUAGUGUUACCACAGCCUUAUUCGUCUUUAUCGCAAUCUUCUGAAAAAUACUGAAUGAUAAUAAUAAUUAUUAUUAAAAAAAUAUAUGACCAGGUUUUUUGGCACUUUAGUAUCAACAUUGAAUCUUGUUUAUUUUAAUUAUGAAAUAUGAUAGAAAUUUUAUAAAUUUAUCGUAAAUUAAAUUGUAUGAUUUUUAAAAAUUAAAACGAAUAAUUCCGUUGACAUUAUUAUUCUAUUGAUAGGAUAUUACAUUAAUAUCAAUAUGAACUCCUUAUUUAUUUGAACUCUGAAGAAUGCUAAAAGAUUUAUAGAGUUGUUCCGUAUAUUAAAUUAUUUGAGUUUUAAAAAUUUAAAACAAAUAAUUUUAUGGGAAAUAUAUUUUUUUAUUAGUGAGAUAAUUGUUAUAAUACAAAAUCCUGUCAAAAUAUAGAAGUUUUUUGAUGAUAGUAAUAAUUGUUAAAUAAAAAAUAAUAUGAUGAUAGCCAAAUUUUGAUAUGAAUUUUAUAGAAUUGUUUCAUAAGUUAAAUUGUUAGCGAUUUAACUGUGCGGAUAGGAUAACUGUUAUAUUACAAAAUUCUAAACACCAUAGAAAUCUUUUUAUAGUAGUAUAAUAAUCUUAACUAAUAUUGAAAUUUUUAAUAAUAAAAUCCGAAUCAAUAUGGAAGUCUUUACAUAAAAUUCUAAUUAAUAUAGAAGUCUUUCGCUAUCCUAAUGAAUAUUGAGGUCUUUAAUAAUAAAAUUUUAUUCAAUAUAUAAGUCUUCUGAUAAUAGUAUAAUAAUGAUUAUAAAAUUAUAAUCAAUAUGAAAGUGAUCAGAUUUUGGUACUAAAAGUACCGAUGUUCCACCGAAACGUGGUUUCGCUUAUUAAUAAAGGGUAUUGAUGUUAAUUUAUACUAUCAGCUGAAAAUUGGACAAAUGUAACUUGAAGCAAACAGAUUCAACCACUUAAAAAAUUAUGUAUAUUUCUAGUUGAUAAAUGUAUAUAGGAAGAGAAGACAUAUUACACAUAUUUAUUUAUUCUAUAAAUGAAGUAAAAAUAAUAAGUAAUAUGUGCGAUAAUUUUCUGAAUAUUUUAUUUCACUGAAAUUGGUCUUUACAAUUUAUACCACUGGGGCAAGCUGCCAGGAGAGCAGUAACAUGUGAUUUCCAGUUCAUCUCCUGGCAUAAAUAAAUUCAAUACUCAUUCUUGAUCCUUUAACCAUCUGCCUGGAUUCUGUUCAUACAAUAUACUACUGUAUACAUACAUCUAUAUAGAUCAUACUUAAACAUAUAAAAGUAUCAUUAUUAUGACAGGGUCAUUUAAGAUCUUGGGUCAACCAUGGACCAGAAUCCAAAGUUACUCGGCAUCAAACCUAAAUGCAAAAAUGCAUUUGCAUGUUACAUGUAGAUGCAACUACACAGUGUAGCUGAAAUUGUUAAAUGAUUGUUUCUCCCAAAACUUUGAUCGGAGUCGUUGGUUAAUAGUUUAUCUUGGGUUCAACCCUGACUCACCUCGAGAAAUUUUGAGAAUAUAUACUUAUUUGUAAGGCUAUAAGCCAUAUUUGUCAGAAAGAAAAAUUGGUUCGAUACAAUUUUGGACUAGUACAAAACCGUCAGAGCUAAAAUCAGUGAAUCAUAAAAUUUAAGAUUAAUGUGAAAAGCAAACAAAAUGCAUUCACCACAACAUGAACAAUGAGAAUCUUAAUGAAGACAUCUACAUGAAUAAGGGAAGAAAUCUGAAGAUACUGAAUAAUCUACUCCUGAUUUCUCACUUUUGUGAGUUUAGCUUCUCUAGCUUUCCUUUCUUAAAUGAAAAGAGUGGAGGAAGAGCACUGUUCUUUGCUUGUGUACAGAGUGGUACAUUAAUCACAGGUCUUAUCCUCAUAGUUGCUGAUCUUGUUCUCUCCAGCCCUUUUUUACUCUUUUUCGCAUUUUUGUCCUUGUUCCCUGCUCUGUCUUCUUUAUCCGUGCCUUGAUUGUCCACGAGUGAGCUCGAGGACGAUGAUGAUGACGAUGAGGAUGACGGUGACAAUGUAGAAGGCCUCUGUUUUCUGAGGCGCAGAAGCUCUUUCCAUAAUACUGUGCAUGAAGGUGGCCUCGGAGAAGGAUCAUCAUCAAUAAACCAACUCCCUCUACUCUCCUUGCUUAAAUUUAAGUCCUCGACUUUCGAUUUGGCUUUCGGGCCCUCUUCGGAUCUGAGGGUGAUUUUUUUUAUCUCAUGGUGCAUUUGCCAAUAGGGAAGUAACUUACCCUCGAAAAAAAGCUCAUCAGCUGGCAGCAUUGUGUGGUUGUUGCUGGAGAGAAACUCGAAUGUUUUCUCACGGGGCUUUUCGGGCUCUUUCUCAACUUGGGAAGUUUUAAUACUGGGAAUGAAAUUCGUCUCGUCGAGAAAAUCAGAGGAGAAAGAGAUUCGAGGACUUGAAAUAGGCUCAGCUGAUGCUGAGUCUGUCUGGGAUUUUUCAGGGGAGACCAUUUUGGUAGAAAGUGAGGAAGAGGUUGUGGAGUUGAGUUAUGAAGUUUGUAUAGUUUAUAGGAGAAGCAAGUGCAUAAGUAAAACUAAGACAGUGAGAAUAUUAAAACUAAGUGGUCCUGUGAAGACAAAACAAGUGAGUUAAGGAUUUGUUAUAGAUUACAGGAACAGCACAUGGUCACCUUGAGAACUAGAGACAAGAUUUCUGCCUUUGUUUGUUUAAGGGUGGUAAAUUUUAUCAUACAGUGAAGGUCUUUUACAAGUAUUCCGGAAUCCGGAUAGCUUAAUGAUAAAGAUUUAUUCGACAAGUUUACGAGUUCGGGUUCGAGUCCGAUUCGGGCAAGGAAGAGGGCCCUGCAUAAACAACAAUGCUUCAUAAUCAUGAGCAUGUGGACUUGCAGCAGUCAUAGUCUUGGAAUAGGAAAGAAUAAAAUGCAUUUUACUUGAAAAACUAACUGAUUUUCAUCCAUUUCUACUUUUAAGUAGUUCUGAAAUGAUUCAUUUCUGUUGAGCUAAAGAAUCUUGAAAAAAGCUGUCAGCCAAGCAGAACUUAGUGGAGGAGCCUGACUGUUAAUAGUAUUUGCAGACUGGCCAGUAACUAAUUUUUUUGACAAAUAGUAGGAAACAUUUCUGUUCUUUCUUUUAUUGAUUCACAUGGGUACUUAGUGUUCUGAUAAAUAAGAUAAAAUGAAAACUGGAGAUAAUUUAACAAAGUAAAAAUAUAUGUAGAUGUGUGUGAUACUCAAACAUAGGGAAGAUUUGAUGUCUGCAGAAGCUCUUUUACUGAAAAAUUAAAGGAAUAAUUAUGAUAAUAACAUGGGAUUAAAGUCCAAAGCAUGUGAUCACAUGAGUUGAGUGCUGACAGCCCAUUUACCGAGCUAAGCCAGAUUUCUACAUUACAUUAUUCCCGGUGACCUUGUCACUUGUGAAAAUUUGAUAUAUUUAAUGCUCUAUUGUUAUGUUCUGCAGGAGACAUGGAUAGGAUGGUAGUAUGCAUUAUAUUCACCUCGGUGAACUAGUGUGACAGUAACUUGUAUAUUCAUCUCAAUAAACUAGUGACAGUAGCCCAUCCUUACGCUGGAUGAGAAUAAUCCUCAUUUCGGUGAACUAGUGACAGUAGCUUGUAUAUUCAUUUCGAUAAACUAGUGACAGCAGCCCAUUCCUACCCUGAUGAGAACAGCCCACCAGACUAUAAAGUGAUCCAAAGUCUAUGUCAUGCCCAAUACUCUCCGAGGAGGACAACUCAUGGAGUCUUCUAAGAUAUAUUUUCGAGAAGUUUUGAUCACAAGCUCCCCAACGAGGACUUCUCGCAGACUACAUAGUAAGACUUUUCUAGUCUUCGUUCACUACUUCCCAAUGAAGAUAACAACUAGAAUGCAAAGCUGUAUUUUCAAUCUUGUAUACGAAUCCGGCCCAUAUAAAUGAGCCCUUUGAGCGUAACAACUGCCAUCCAAGCAAAAUAUCCUAUACGUAGCAAAAUUUAUAUAAUGUCUUUGAGCAUGUGUAAAUAUGGUUGGUUAGAAUGAUAGGCUAAGUUAGACGUAUUAAAGCAUCUCCAGCAGCAUCUUAGCUCAUUCCUUAAAUAUAAUAUAAAAUAUUGGAUCCUAAUAAUAGCUAUUCUCACCUCCAACAAUAUUCCUUAUAUUCAUUCCUUAUAUACUAUUUUAUUAUUAAAAGUUACCAUUAUUGCAAUAGGUGAAGAGAGAGAACAUAUUUGUAUUCAAAAUUUAUUAUAAAAUAAGAUUUAGGAGAGAAGAGAGGUUACCUAAAGAUAAGGUAUGGCUAGUGGAUCUUAGUGAUUUAGGGAAUCACUAAGAUACUGUUGGAGUGGAUAAUUUUCCCAUAUUCCUCGUAUUUUGGUUUAAGAUUUCAAAUAGGGAAGCUGCUUAUGUAGCUAAAACAUGCAAGCCCACAAAAUAAUUAAUUUAAAAAUUAUUACAUAAAUUGGGCUACUGAAUUGGGCUGGGCUUACGUAAAUACUAUCUAUACCCAUGCUGAAAGCAAAAUUUGAAACACAGCUUGUCACCAGUAUUUUGAUAUUUUCUCUACACAAGAAAAAACUAAUUUGAAGCCCCAGCUUUGUCCACUAACUCUUCUCAACUGAUUUCUCUGUCAAUCUCUUGUUAACUAAUUUCAGGUAAAUUCAUUCAUUCUAUUACUUACUCUUAUUUUCUGUUACACUUUAAUUUGUUACUACUGUGAUGCAGUUACGAGCCCUAGAGCUUUGUAAUUUAUAUGAUGAUUGUUAAUUGAAGUUUUGGGUUCUAGUAUAAGCACUGCAAAUUGUGUUUGUUUCGAUUGAAAUGUCGUUGUCUCGAAAAGGAUUAGGCGAAUCAUAGUUUUCGGUUUUUUCUCGAAUGUACAUAAUUGAAGUUUAGAAGUUAAGAGGAACGUUAUGUGUUAUGUUAGGAUCAGAGAAGUAGUGCAAUCACGAUGGAAGGAGGAAUUGUGGAGGGAGGUCAAGCGGAGCAGCAAACGCAGCCGGUGGAGAGGCUGAACCAGGCUGUUCAACAGCAGUUGAAUUUGGAGUCGGUUAAGACGAGAGCGAUAAGUCUGUUUAAGGCUGUUUCGAGGAUUCUCGAUGAAUUUGACGCUAUUGCUCGUGCCAAUUCUCUUCCUAAAUGGUAUUUACCCUAUUGAGUCGUGUAUGUAUGGAUGAUCAUGUUAUUCUGAUAUUUCUGUUUAACCUGAGAGAUGAUUUGGGAUUCUUAAUUUUAUAGGCAGGAUGUUUUGAGUCAAUUCUCUAUGGUCAAUCUCGAGCUGUAUAACAUUGUGGAGGACAUUAAGAAAGUCUCCAAGGCUUUUGUUGUGCAUCCCAAGAAUGUUAAUGCCCAAAACGCUACAAGUAUGUACGUGGUAUCUAUUAUGAAUCAUACAAUGCCACACUAUUUACUCCUUGAUUAGUAAUUUGUAUAUAUAUUUUUCCACCUCCUCUUCCAGUUUUGCCUGUCAUGUUAUCAUCUAAGCUAUUGCCUGAGAUGGAAAUGGACGACAAUGCAAAGAGAGAGCAAUUAUUACAUGGCAUGCACAAUUUGCAACUUCUUUCCCAAAUCGAUAAACUAAAGGUUUAUUAUAAUUAGUUCACUUUUAUUAUCCUGCUUUAGUUCUUCUUAUUAGCACUGUCUAUAAUUUUGCUUGUUCUUUUUGUUUAUAGACCAGAAUUGAUAUGAUUGGAGCAGCCUGCGAAAGUGCUGAGAAGGUCAUAGCUGAUACACGCAAAGCCUACUUUGGGACCAGGCAAGGUCCCAGUCUUCUCCCCACACUUGACAAAGUUCAAGCUGCUAAAAUCCAAGAGCAAGAGAGUUUACUUCGAAGUGCUGUAAAUCAGGGGGAAGGUGUUAUACUCAACCAAAUAUAUUUUGGAAAUACAUUUGUUUUAAUUGUUGACUUCUCGGUCCGCACGGAUUAAUUUUAUACAAUUAUUACUUGGUGUACACAUACUUCUCUACAUUAAUAUAUACUUUUUGGGGGCUUGUUACCCCAACUUUGGUAUUUGCGUUGAUUCUAAGUUUUAGGUAAUUUGGAAUUCAUGAAUAUGGAUCAUAAAUCGACACAAGUGUGGCUGUGUGGAGACUCUGCCUGUGAAUUUAACACUUGAAAUUUCAUCUAGUAUUUUUCAGUCCUUUGGAGAUUCCAUUCUUGCAAUCCAACUAGUAUAUUGGUUUUCACUUUAAUGUUUUUAAUUGGAGUAGUCUAUAGUGUUCCUUAGCUUCCUCUUCGUGUAAUUGGACUGAGUACAAGUCCAGAAAUGCCAGAUUUUCUGCAAUAUAGGUGCCUUGAUGACACUUUAACUAUUCUAGUAAUAAAAUUGGCAAUGUGUGUAUAUUCCCUUCUAUUGACAAUUUCACAUUACUUGUUAUUCUAUGAACAAAAAUUAGAAGAGAUAAGUUGAUUACCCUGGACAUUAUGCUAUACCUCAAGUCAUAGCACUUGGAUGAAUUUUCGCAGGUUUACGAAUACCUGGAGAGCAGAGGCAGAUCACAUCUGCGCUUCCCAUGCAUCUGGUAGAUGUUCUCAAUGUUGGUGAAAGUUCUCAAACGUUUUCUGACGGUUCUGGUAUACACUAUCUUUUGCUGUAUAAGCCCGAGUGUCCUUUCAUAUGUUUAGAUUACAUAGCUUAAUUGUUAGAUCUCAGUCAUCUGACAUGUUGACAAUUUUUUGUUACAGGCAUGUACACAAAAAAUAAUCCUACCUUCUCUUCAAACAACAUUACCAGUCAGGGGAAUCUGAUACAGGUGAAUUAGAUAAUGUUUGUAAUGUGAAAAAAUUGGGUGCCAUUUAUACAAUUGAUUCCUUCCCCAUCUCAAUAUCUGGUAGUCUGUUACUGUUCUCCAACUAAUCAUCUUGUUUAUUCUUAUUCUCUAUGAAUUGAUAUCUAGUUAAAUCUCAAUUAGUCUGUCUCACUACGUUUUGCUACUUGGUCUCCAACUAAAAUAAAAUUCCUUGUUUCUAGCAAACUUUUCUAUGGCCAUUGAUACAUAUAGUCAUUCCAAUGUUAAUAGUUUAAGUGGCAAAUGAUCACCAUUUGGCUCUUAGUUUAAGAGUUCGUUUGGGUGAGUUUAGAAUAAUGACUUAUUUCUUAUAGUCUCUUAGUGUGAUAAGCGAAUAGCUUAAAAUUGUCUAUUUGGGUUUUGUAUUAGAGGUGACUUAUGACUUACUAAAAAUAUAAUUAUAAAAGUAAAUAUGAUAUGUUAGCUAUUUUAGUGAUGAAAUUAAUUUUUAUUAAAAAAAAUAAGUUAUUCGAAAAAGUACAUCCUACCAACUUCUGACUUUAAGUCAGUUUGUGACUUAUUUUUAACUUUAAGUCAUCUUAUGGCUUAUUACACAAAGAAACAUUUUUUAGUUUAAAGUCGAAAAUGGCUUAAAGCCCCGGCAAACAAGCUGUAAACUUCAUGAAGCUUGCUUGUGUUUUAAUUUCACUCCUUAAUGAAGCGAAUGGAAAGCAACUAGAAAAAGGGAAUAUAACAGUUUUAUUAUAUUAGAAGGCACGAAGUAACGAAUUAAUAUUUAGGGUCCUACUCUACUAGAACAUCCUUAAAAAUAAAAACUAGAAACUAAAAAAAAAAAAAAUUCUAAAGCAUAUCGAGAUAUAGAAUAUAUGGUAUGUAACUUGAUCGUUGUGAUAUAAAGAAAAAUAUAGUGAAGUUGGAUUUCAAAAAAAAAAACUCACUUAUUGAUGGGAAAGAUCAAAUUAGAAACGGAGGGGAUGGGAUCAUGUGUGGAAGGGUGUAUUUUAAUUAUGUGUGGUGACAUCUAGGGGGUCAUGAGAUUAUAUUCAUCUAAGUGCUUAGAUUUGUUCCAAGUUUCUAUUUUGACUUUUGUUUAUAUUUGAUCAUUUGCCUAUAUAUAUAUAAGUUUAGAAUCGCUCGAAUCCUAUUUAUCUAUUUUUUUAGAACACCUGUACUCGCUUUGGAUUUAAGAUAGGUUAUUGAUAAAGCAAUGUUGCCAGUGAUGUAGGAAGUGGUUAUAAUCAUUUUGUUUUCUAAUUAAUCAUCUUGGUAUCUGUCCCACUUUGAAUGUAAAUACAAAGAACCUGAUUUAAAAACUGUAGUUUAAUGUUGAUUAGUUCCCACUUUCUUUAUCUUUUUAGUGUAUGAAUUCACUUAUGCUUCCUGAUAAGAUUUAAGAUAAAUAGUUUGGGUGCUCUAUUCUGUUUUGAUAUAGAAAUGUUCUAUGUUCCUUUGCUAAUAAAUUUGUGAAAUAGGCUUCUGGAUCGCAACUAAUUGGAAGGACAGCAGCAUCUCCUGGUGCUACAGGAUCUACUUCAUUUGAUAAUACAACAUCUCCACUGCCAUAUGCCAACUCACCUAGGUCUGGGGCAAACAUACUCAAUACACCAUCCCCUCAGCAACCAUCACAACUCCAGCAGCAACAGCAGAGGCAGAAAAUGAUGCAGUUACCUCAGCAUCAGCAGCAGCUCCUUGCCCAACAGCAGUUUAGGCAAUCAUCCGUACCAGGGAUUGGGCAGGCAAACCUCUUAUACUACAUUAAAUUAUUUUAUCCAACUCCAGUGCCAAUUUGACAUGCAAAAACAACAUUAUAUAUGUUUUGCUUCGUAAAAUGGUGGUAAUUGAACCCUGUGUCCUUAUUAAGAAAAAAAUUAGAUGGUGCCAUGGUUGAUGCGCAUAGAGUCCUUGGUGCAUGUUUUUAUGUGUUAACUUAAUAACACAUCAUAAUAUAAAUGUUGCAUAAUCAAUAGACGAAUCCAUGCUGCGUAACCUGGCGGGAUAGAAAUGAUGGCAACACACCUCAUACAAGGCUUAAACACAAAAUUACUUGGUGUUUUACAAGUUUCUAGGCACGACUUGUUAUUUUAUAAUCUGGUAGGUAAGGAUUGUUGUAUUUUAUCUGCAGAUCUGGAUAUAUAAUGUUUGUCACCUUCUAUACACCAUUCCAACAUUAGAUGCUCUUGUAUAAUAUUAGAUAUGAGUAAAGCAGUUUUAUGCAUAUUCUUGCAUGAAAAAAAUCAAUAAUCCUUGUCGAUAUUUACUUUUUAAUAUUUAACUCAGUGUUGUCAAAGGCGAUCUACUCUAAAGUUGCCUUUAGUGGUUGAGUUAAUGCUGUCACCUCACCUUACCUCUCUAAAUCAUGACUUUGUGAAGAUAUUAGUUUCUAUCACUGGUUGUGAGAACAUAAAAUUCGAAUGAGAAAAACAUUAAGUAAUUAACAAAGAGUAAGCCCAAGAAGAUGAAGCUACAACCGUCCCUUUUCUCCUCGAGACUCACGACUCUUUCUUCUCUCUCCUUCCUACUUAACUAUAGACGGGGUCUUUCUUCUUCUUUUUUAUUCUUCUGGCCUUGCUUUCUCAGUGUAUAUUUUUGUUGUGGAUAUUAGGUAUCUCCCCUAUUCUAUCUUUUUUAACAAUUGAAAAGUUGCUAAGUUACUCCCUCUGGCCUCUACCCACAUGUAUUUUGGGACAGCUAAGAUAGGACACGUUGAGAUAUUGUGUGGGAGAGAGGGAGUAUAUUUUCUAGUGUCAAAUUAAUGUUGUGUAGUAUUUGUUGGUAAAAUAUUACUACACAUGCUCUUAUAUGAUAUAUAUGUAUAAUGUGUGUGUGUAACUCUCUCUCUGUGUGUGUAUGCUAUUGUAAAUUUGUAACACUGAUCCUUCACCAAGGCUAGUGCCUCACCUCUUUGUUCUUUAUAAUUUGAGAGCAAGCUCUUGUCACCUCACCCUUCCCUAAUCGAAGAACACCGAGGUGUGUCUGCCGUGUUUCGAUGAGUAAGCAGUAAUCUGAUCCUGAAAUAAUUAUACUGACGUAGAAUUCAUUGUUAAGAGUGAUGCAGACCAGAUGAUAUAUGAAAGUGUGCAAAACAUUCAUUUGUCACAUAUAUUUGUUAGAGUUUGAGUAGCACCAGUAAUUAUAUUAUUGUGUUUUGAUCUAUCGAAGUGCUGUAUCUUGUAUCUGUUUUUUCAUUUUUCUGUAUGUUUUGCAGAAUCAGCUAGUCCAGCUACAUGAUUUGCAGGGUCAGGCCCAACAAAAGUUUCAAUCGGUAAAUGCAACAUUGUAUCCAAUCUGUCUUACAUAGUUUUGUAUCGGUAUAUUUUGCUCAUAAACACAUCUAGACAGGCUCUUGUCUAAAUAUGCUCAUAUUAAAAUUUGUCACAUGUCUGUCAAUCGAAUUCUCUAUUGCAUCUGCUCCACAGAAUCACACACCUCAUAUUGAAUGCAGUCACUCGGUACAGGCUACCAUUAAAGCUAUAAAUUAUUUUAUUUAUUGUCAUAAAGUACACUUCAUGUACCUACACUCGGGUGUCAAGACUCAGACCAUUUGCAAUACUCUACGUCUCUACUUAAAAAAAUACGACUUGCCAUACUCAACUUUCAUUUUUGUUACACUUUGCAUGUUUCCGUUAAAUCACUCUGACGUUGCGAGGGAAUUAUAGGAAUUAGGAAUAUUAUUUCGACCCACCCAUCAAACCGUAAAAAUAGUCUUCUCCCCUCAAUUUCAGAAACCAAGGUAUCCUCAUUUCCUUUUUCCUCCAUCAUAUUGAAGUUGGUCUAAACAUACCUGUAUAUAUAUACACAAACCAGCAGUCCACAAAAUCCAUGAAAUCAUAAUUGGGAAUAUCAUCACCAUUCUCUACACCUUACCUUUCUGCAUUGAUAGACACUUCAUCACAACAAUCGACCAACAUCUUUUAAUCCUUUUACGCAAAGAAUAUGUACCAUACCUUGUGAUUAUUGUUAAUAAUAGAGUGUCGUACAUUACAUUCCGGCCACUGCCUACUGUCAACAGAAAUUAACAAACAAGGAAUCCCAUGCAAAAAGAUAACCAUGAACCUGAUUACCUUUCUAGAGAGGAGAGGAAACGGAGAAGUGAAAUUAAUCAUUAAGCUUCAACAUAAAAAAAUAAAAUAAAUGUCGCUACAAUGGUCUCCCGUCCCUAUUUUGAUUGCUCUGAAUUCAGGACGAUUUGAAAGUCUGGUUUUGGAUUUUUCUUUUCAACAUACAAGUAUCUUGCAGAAAAAAGUUAGCCAUGGUGUUCUCAAUAUUCGUUUGAUGGGGAUUGGAUCUUGUGGAUUGAAAUAGAAGUAUAAAUCUGGCUCAGAACCCCCACCAACCCACCCACAACUUAUUAUUGGUCCGAUAAUAUUUUUACCCUUUCUUUAGUAAUAUUUACCAACUGUCUUAGUGUUUUUAAAAGGAACCACUAAAGUGCUAUGAAACGUAAAAAUCACUAUAGCAAGUGGUUUUUUAAAGUAGAUAAUUGCAAGUGGUCUGACACCCUAAGUGCAUCUGUGCAUGUAUACAAGUGCACUUUAAAAUGUAGUAUACUUGCCUGGAAGUUGGUUUCCUACUUUCCAGAGGAACUGACUAUGUGUCUAAGAAUCAUGGGAAUGUUAAAUGUCAUUUGCAGAAAUUUAUAGAUCACUGGUGACUGCGUCCUAAUGUGUGUCAGAACGUCACAUUUUCAUAUUUAUAGUGACCCUUAGCCAUUGUUUGGUCUCACAUGAAUACAUGAUUAUGGCAUCUUCCGUUGAGUAAGCUCACGAGAGAAUUCUUUUAAUAAAAGUAAGCAUUUCUUCAGAUUCGGCCAUUUACAUGCUUAAAUUUUUUUUACUUCUUAAAUUCCUUCUCAAAUUGUUACAUUAGAAAAGAAAAAAAGAGCUGUAUAUUACCUUUCUAUCGUCUCCACUAACAAAGUAACAAUGAUAUAUUUCAGCCAUAGAUAUUUAAGAUCCUCGUUCCUAAUGCAGUCUAGAGAUGAGACAUACACUACUUGUUUAUUUUGAUAUGUUAAGUAGUUGAAAUGCACCUGGACAGAAGGUGGAUGUUUGACUCUUUAAUUUCAACUUUUGUAGGGUAAUUGCAUCAUUUACUGUUAUGUUUUGCCUAUCAAUAUUGCUCAUGUAUAUUGCUUGGAAAUUGUCGAAUCACAAUACUUUUUUCUUUACUUGUUUUUGUUCUGUAUUUUUUUUCCAAAUCUUUCCUGCAUAGUAUUGCCAGCUAUUAUGGAAGUUAUGAUUAAUCAAAAAUAUAAACCUAAGCCUAGUCUGGCAAUCAACUAUACCGUAUGCAGAGCCAGAGGACUACCAUGAUUCAGCUUACCUGUUUCUACCAAUUUAAAAAUUGAAUCGAGCAUAUCCAAGUGGAUAUUCCUCACUCCUAUGUAUUAAAGGUCAAGGGUUCAGAUCCUAAGUGGAGGCAGAUGUGUGUGCAUGAGAAUUCAAAUUUCUUUUGUUUGACCUUGCUCAAAUAAACGAAAAGCAUCGCAUAGUCAAGGUCCAUAAAUUUGCUAUUUGCACUAGCUGAAGUUUACGUUUUCUUACCAUCUUUUAGAAUAGGACUAGCGGAGAGAGAAAACAAACUAGGAUAUGAAAUGGUAGGAUAUAUGGGAUAAAUAUUAUUAUAUUGAAUAUGUCUUGUGAGGAAAUGGUAUUUGAUUUAAUGGCAUAUGAGUCCACCUCUUUCUUUAUUGUCAUUUUUUUAGCAUCCUUUGACGUUAGCGAUUUGGGAACUCUUACCUAAUAGAUAAAUAAUUCACAAGAACACUUUGUAUUCUCAAAUCAAUUCAUAAUUCGAAUACCAUGGAUAUUACUAGGGAGUAUUGCAAGAAUCUAUUAGAAAUCCUAUGAUUCGGAACUAUUCAAUUCUUAAUGAGAAGCACAAUAAUCUCUAUACAUAUCUAUUUUCUAAACUAAAUUGGAUAACUGGAACAACUCUUUUCAUGGCUCUAUUAAUAGAAUUUUGAAUCUUUAUAAAAAACUCCUACCUAAUAUAACUAAAAACACCUAAUUAGUUUCAAUUGGUUUCAUCUUGAAUACUGUAUAAUAGUAUAUACAAAUUCAGAUUAUAACUUGUUCCUUUGUAGGCAUGACUCUUUAUAUACGAUCUCCAUCUUCCCAAUUGUUUGUGUUAUAUGAUUUAUGUAUGUCUUUAUUAUGAAAUUGCUGAUUUUUGCUGGGAGAUUGAAUGAGAGGGAGCUGGGAGGGUGUGCUCUUACUCUGAGAUGUCAGUAAAUAGUUUGUUGAUUGUUUAAUUCAAACUAUCUGCAGAUGCACUCUCAACACCAAAUGCAAUUCUCUCAGCCAUUGGGAUCACAACAAUUUCAGAGUAGGCAGCUACCUUCUGGAUCUAUUCAACAUGGCCUCGGGCAAAGCCAACUUAACCAAGGAAAUCAGUUGAAUCGUCAUUUGAAUCAAUUCUCUAGCCCUGCCAACAGUGCUUUAUUCAAUGCUGCCCAGUCUACUCCAAAUACUCAGAUGGUCAGUUUAGCAUUGUUUAAUUUGUCUGCCUCUUAAUAAAUUCUUUGUUCAUUUGGAUUUUCAACACCAGCAUAAUAUCAUCUGAUAUUUGUUAAGUAUUUCUUCACAUAUUAUAUUCUGAUGCCCGCAUAUAAGUAUGUAUCUUACAAAUAUUUCUUUUAGUAAUUUAUUUAUAUCUAUAGCGGCCUCUGACUCUUCAGUAUUGCUACAGAAACUUUAUUGUUUAUCUUGAUUAUAUAGCAUUCUUUAAGGUCCAUCUGAAAAUUUGUAUAUUUUCCCCAAAAAAUUCAUAUUUACAAUAUUUAUUAAUUCUUCAAAGGCUUUUGUUCUGUAGGCUUAUCAUUUGAUUUUUUUUCCUCAGCAAUUUCUUAUAAUGAAAAGUUCUUUUUAACAAUCUUGCUCAAUGUUUUUACUCGACAGAUUUCAAAUAUGUCGGGAAUGAUGCCAUCGCAAUCACUCUUACCACGGAUGCAGCAGGUUAGUAAUUAAAUGAUUUGCUUCACUCUGGUCGUCUCUCUUCAAUAAAAGUUAUGUGGUUUAUUUAGCUAUGUGAAAAAUUUAGCUAUGUGGUUUAUGUCGGCAAUGAUGCCAUCGCAAUCACUCUUACCAUUGUCAUGUUUGGUUCGGUUAUUCAUACUUGGGAUGUAGAGGAAAUGGAAGAGCCCAUCUUCCCUGAAAUAAAUUACAUUUACUGUAUGUACUUUUGAAUGAUUUUCCAUUACGGCCCUCCAUUUCUUUCUUUUCAAUUAGGGUAAUUCUGAAAUGAAAACCUAUAUCUUCUUGAAAGGUAUUGCUGCUCCAGAGAACAGGGGCCUAUAGUGUAUUUGUAAAGGAAAUAAAGGCUUCUUUUAUUGAACUAUGUCUAUUGCAAUGUUUUAGUUUUAUAUGUUAUCUUUUAUGAUUCGCUUAUCUAUAUAUCUUAAAAGUAUAUACUAUUAUAUAGGUUUCAAUUUUUCCCUACGAUGUUUAGACUGGCUCAUCCCUUUCAGAACUCAAGUCCAUAAAGAUUCUUCAAAUGUAUACGGUACUAACAUUAAAGAAAGUGCUUGGUAGAUAAGCCACCUUUCAGAACUCAAAUGUAUAAAGAUUCUUCAAAUGUAUAAAGAAAACUGUAAUAACAAAAAAAUUAAAAGUGCUUGGUAGAUAAGCCACCUUUCUUGCUCACCAGGGUUUUAUGUUUCUAAUUUCUAUAUAUUGUGCCUGGUGCAAAUUUAAAUCAAGGUCAAGAUGUAGGCUUGAGUAUUUUGCAAAGGCCAGUAACUUGAUAUAGGUUCUUAUUCUGACCCCAUAUAUAUUGUUUUUGGCCUCCAUUAAUCAUUACACAAUCAGCUUGUUGAAAUCUUUUUGUUAAAUAAGCACCAACGUACUAGUAUACUACUAAAUGUUCUUGCCUUCCUAAAUUCCUCACUUCACCCUCAUAAGAACAUUUUGAAAUUUUUUAACCAUAAACAGAAGUUUUAUUUGUUUAGAUCUAGCUAUGAGCAUCAUUUGUGUUGUGAACCAGCAAUGUCAUGGUCAAAACCUCUGAAGCAUAGUUUCAUACGUUCUCACUUGAAUUUAACUGUGCCUAAGCUUACUUUGUUAUAUAUAUUAAGAGCAGAUUAGCUAGCAUUGUGUAGCUUCUACACCUCCAAUUUACUGCGAAAAAUAUUGCAUCUAUAUCGGCUAUUUUUGGUGAAAGAUCAACAUCUUGGACUGUUAUCAUCUUUUGUGCAUUAUGUUUGUGACAGCAAUUGUGGAAAUUUUUUAGUUGAGUGACUAAAAAUGAGAAAAUAGUCUUGUUUUAUGGGUGCUGAGAAGCCUAUAGUUAUCUUUAACAAUCACUUUACUGUACAGUAUGGAUUAUCCAGUGGCAGCCGCAGUCUUGCUUCCCAGAAUCUGAGUGAUCAAAGUAAGUAUUCUCUCGACAAGCAGACCUAAAGCUUUACUGGGCAUAAUGCUGACUGAUGUUUUAUAUUGAAAAGAGAUCAUAUUUUUUUCUUCUAAAGCAACAGUUCAUUGUCUCAUUCCUUGUAUGGCAAUAGAUCUGUUGGAAUUUUAUUAGGCUGAAUGUGGUUGUAUUUUCUUGGACAGUGUUUAACUUGGGAGCCACCAACCCUGGCAGCAUGAUGCCUCUUCAGCAACAGCAACAGCAACAGCAACAUGUCUCACAAGGCACAUUCGGGAACAUGGCGGCAAAUGCUCAGAAUAUGCAGCCUGGUAUAGUACCUCUGCAGAACACACAACAGAAUCAUCCCAAUUAUCAACAGCAAAGACAACAAAACCAAUAGAGGAGCUAAUGAAGUUCAGUUCAGUUCUGUGUAUCAAGUAAAAGUGUCUAGAGUAAAAACUGUUUCACUUUGCAUACUGAUGGUGUUGUGACAGACAGUUUCAGUAUUUUACCAUUUACCAAAAGUCCAAAACGUUUCAGAAGAAAAAAAAGCCUUGUCACUAGUCUUUAUAACAAAAUUCUAGGUCCUAAUUCUGAGUUCUCUUUCUAGUCAGGGUGGGAACACGGUGCGUUUAGUCAAAAUAAUUUAAUUUGGUUAACUUCGCAGAUAAAAUUUGGUUCAUCAUUCGCUAGGGACAAUUCGGUAGGUUCAUCAUUGGUUCGAUAAAAUCGAAGGUAAGGAAGAAGUAUUGAGAUUAGGGGAGAAAAAAAAUUAGUAAACUUGAACUCAAGUGCAGUACAUAAAUGAGAAAAAAACCACCACCAGAAAUCAAUUGAAAUGCAUUACGCUUAGUCCAUUCCGUACUAAUUCUGGUGCUCAUGCCUGACCUAGGGCAAGUUUAAAAUAGUUAUUAUAAUUAAAAAAAUGUACAGUUUAAAUUAUUUGGAUGGAUAAUUUUAUAUUAUAAAUAAUUUAAUAUUUAUAAUAAUAAAAAAAUACACCGUCCACUCAAUCAUUGAGAGUGUUUAUUUCGACACGCAGAUGAAAAAAAAAAUAAUCCCAAAAACUUGAAUACACAAUCUCACUCGCAAAAGAUAAUAAAACGUGUUAUUCCACUUUUCGCAACUUCGAAAUCGAAAGUGUAGCCCACCAUCCAACCCACCGUUUGCUUUGUCAACAAUCUACAAACCUCCCGUUGAUAUCUUUAAACCUAACAAUUCACCCUUGUUAUUAUCUUUCAAUUUCUCAUCAGAUCUAUUUUUCUUCAUCAUCAGGUAACAUCUUUUCUAAUUUUUCAUUUUCUUCAUUCUAAUCAACGUUUUCUCAUACGUUUCUUGAUUAAAGCUGCGAUUUUUAUUUGAAUAUUGUGUUCAUAUGCUCAAAUUGAUCUGGAAAAUGAUUUGAUUAAGUUGGUAUGAUUAAAAUUGAGGCCGUUCUGAUGCUAAGUUUCUGCAAGAUUUCAAUUUUAUUUGAUGUUUACAAUUUGAAAUUUUUGUGUGCAAGUGGGUGUUUUAAUAACGGAGAAUUGUGUUUCGAAUUGGAUUAAGUUAUGAUCGUUUGUUUGCGAAGGUUAAGCGUUAUGAUCGAAUCAGGUCUCUAGUUAUCAUGAUGUGAAUUUGUAUAUAGGUUAAAUGGAUUUUGGUUGAUUUAGAACUGUUUGUAAAAAAAAGGUUGAAAAUUUUGUUUUGUUAUAUCGAAGCGGGUCUAUACUGUUUUUUAUUGCCAUAGAAGUUGAUAGAUGAGAGUUUUGUGGUUCUCAACUAGGCAGUUCUUUGAUUGCAGCAUGAAGUUUUGCGUAAUAAUCUCAUUUUAAAUUGGCUUGAUUACGUGCAAGAACUAACUUUAUUGUUUUGACUUGAUAAGGCUGCAAUAACCAUCUUAAUUAGUGGAUAUGUUUGCAUUAAACAAAGUUGUUUCACCCCGGCCGUAGUUAAUGAUUUUUGUGCACAUUUAAUUUGAUGUUUUUCUUUUUUUAGGGCAUCUACAAAACCAUGGCUCUUGUGCAGACAUAUCAUUCACAAGUUGGACCUUUUCGGGGUGACCGUAGGUCAUCUUUUAACAGGCACCACCGUCCUUUGAUUAAUACUACCAUGGCUCCCACCACCAACAAUAGCUGCAAUCUCCCUCAUAACUUUUUCCCAAAUUACGAAAAUUCUUAUGAUUUCUCAAGAAAUUUCUGGGAGUCUAACUAUUGCAGUAAAAUUGCUGAGGCUGACGUAGUACCUCCGAAUAAAAGGAGAAAGUUUUCCACGUCUGCCUGGGAAAGUAGCACGAGACCAUAUAUCCAACCUCCUAUCUAUGAAAAUGGUCCUUCAGCAAACAGAAACACUUCUGCCUAUUUGGAUAGUGUGAGAGUUGAUGUCUGUCAACCUUCAAGUGGUAAGCGUGACCGUUCGAAGUUAGAGGAUGAGGAUUUGGUGUUUAUGUCGAGAGAUGAGAUUGAGAGAUGCUCCCCUUCAAGGAAAGAUGGAAUUGAUGCACUACAAGAAACUCGCCUGCGCUACUCAUAUUGCAGUUUCCUUCAAAAUCUUGGAAUUCAGCUACAAAUGUAAGUUUAUUCAUUACAGCACAUUUAGACAUCUUCAUGUAGAAUGUCCAGUCUGUUGUAUGGUAUCCGAUGAUGCUUUUGAUAUUACUUUCAGACCACAGACCACCAUUGGAACAGCUAUGGUUCUUUGCCACCGUUUUUUUGUUCGGAGGUCUCAUGCAUGCCAUGAUAGAUUUGUGAGUACUUUUUUAAAUCUUAAUUUUGCUGUUAAAUUGAACCCUUUCUCUUUUUCCGUUUAUUCAAUGAUUCUAUUUCGUUUCAAACUUGACGACCAUGUCACAUGCUUUUUGCAUUUUCACUUGUGUUUGAUAGUGAAGUAUUUUUCAGAGAUAUUGGUAUCUUAUGAUAGGAUCCUGUUAUGCCUCCUCUUUAAGUAUGUAAUACAUGUGUAAACUUAUAUAUAUAUGUAGGUUACCACGAGAUUAUAUUAUCAAAAUAACUUAUAUAAAUCUUAUUGAUAAACUCAUGCACACAAAACACCAAGUGAUAUUAGAGAGAUCACCAAUUCUCCACAUGUAACUAGGUGAUAUUCGAGAAAUCACCCGCUCUCCACACACACAUCAAUGUCUAAUUUAAGCCUCCCUCGACCUGCAAACCUUGUUUCUAUUUGUACUCAUUUUAAGAUAUUAUUUGUCCCAACUAAUCCUCUCUUUGAUUUGUAACUGACACAAUGCACAAAUAACUCCACCAAAUCCUCCUAAUUUGAAAAUCAAGAUAUCCUUCAUUUUGAAAUCUUUAAUCAAGAGCACUGAUUAUGUUUUACUCAAAUGAAGAGCCUAACAUCUUAUUUGAACACCCACCCAUACUUUUAUAGUGUUUUUCUUUUCUCGGUUUGCUUGACUGCUCAAUUUCUUACUUUGCAGAUGAUAUCAACUGCUGCUCUGUUCCUGGCUGCCAAGAGUGAAGAGACAGCAUGCCCUUUGAACAAUGUUUUGAGAGCUUCAUGUGAAAUUCUCCAUAACCAAGACUUCGAUGUUCUCUCAUAUCGUUUUCCAGUUGUGAGUAUCCAUACUACCACUAUGAACAACUUUUUUUUCCUUUUUCUUUUUUAAUGUGCAGCUUCAAGGUAUUUUCCCAAAAGAAGACAGUAAGAGGAAUUAUCUAUUUAAAAUUACUAUGAUAUCUCUCUUAGUCAUUUGCCAUCAUCUAUGACUUCUUAGUUCUUACUGAUGCUAUGAACUCUGAAAUGUUGAGUUAGUUGUGCAAUAGAAGUAUAGUUGUAAACUAAGAAAUGAAAAAACCUCAUGUAUGACUUCUUACUGACGCUAAUUUGAACUCCAAAAUAUGAGUUGGUUGUCAAAUGGUAGUAUAGUUGUAAUAUAAUCAAUAAAAAAACUUCAAUUCCUAAAUAAUUUCUAAGUAAUUACUUCGGAAACUUUAAGAAGGUUGUCUUGAUUAUAGUAUUAUAUAUGCUGAGCACUUACAAAUUGUGAUUCUCUUUCAAAAUGCUUUACUAAAUUGAGUUAAUCUUGUACAGGGUUGGUUUGAACAGUAUCGGGAAAAAGUGAUCGCAGCGGAGCAUAUAAUAUUGACAACUCUGAAUUUUGAGCUUACUGUGCAGCAUCCUUAUGCCUCUCUUACAUCCACGCUUGAUAAAUUAGGCCUUUCCCAGUCAGUGUUGGUUAACUUGGCUCUUAGCUUAGUUAGCGAAGGGUAAGCCCAAAUUCUGUUAUCUUCUUUAAACCUCUUUACCUGGCCGAAUUUUUUGCAGUCGGUGAACUACAUUGAUUCUUAAACUUGUACACUCUGUUGAUAUUUGACUAUGUGAUCAAGAAUGUGCAAGUACCAAAAAAUUAUAUGCCAGGACCUGACCUUGCUUCCUCUGUUGUUUACUUGUUUUUACUUUCUGGUGUUUUGCUUUCUCCCGUAUCUGUUUCUUUGCAGAAAUUGAGUUUUUUGUAGGACCAAAAUUCCAUUUCAGUCAAAAUUAUGCAUCAGUCGAGGCUUGGGUAUCCUGCGGUGGAGAAGUUAUUUUCUCUGGGUUUAUUUCUGUUACCUGUCAUGAUGUAUUUAUUGAAUGCUAUCGAGUAAAUUAUCUGUGUAGUAAUUGCAGCAUGCUAUAUUGAUUUGUUUGGAUUGACAUACAAUUGCAGGGUUUAGAGGAAUAAUGUGCUCGCCUAUGAAUGAUAUUCUUAGCUGGUGCUUGAUAUGCUGUUCACCAAAAGUUAUAAUUAUCAUCUGAAGUUGAUCCAGGGAUGUCUAGUGAUGCUCUUAACAUGCAUACACAUAAAUAGUCUGCACAAUAGCAAUAAAAGAAGCCUCAGGAGCUACGAAUCCAGUUCUGCCAAAUGCUUUAUAACAAUUGUCUGUGUACUGUUUGCUUCAUGAAGUCCUCGUUCAAAAUUAUUUACUAUUCACCAUGGCUUCCUGUUUGCUUAGGGUGCUGAUGAAAAUGUCAUCAUGGUCCGAAAUGGUUUUAUAAGUCUUCCUGCCACCCAUCCAGUGGUUAUGUGUGUGCUGUUUAUACCGUUAUAUCCUGUCAAGACUUUCCAAAAUUAGUGUUGACCUUUACAUAUGUUUCACUCCUAAAAUUUAGAGACCUGUAAGCUUGAUUUGACCUCUCCUGUAAAACUUCCCAUAUUUGUUCUGUACCGAUUUCCUUUGCCUUCUGGGUAUACUUAGUACUUCUAUCAACGGAAGUAUAGACAGCCUUAGUGCAGAUGUAGUCAUGAUUUUAGAGCUCAGGUUGUGUUAAGGAGCAACAGUUUAACUUUACACUGAGAGCAGAAAGUCUGUUAACUUGUAAAGGUUUUUACCUCUAGAGAGUGUGCUAAUUAAACUUAUCAAUGGAGAGAUAGUAGUGAGAGGAUGUGACAGACAAGACCACUGCAUAUGCGGGAGCAGAAAAGGACUGUACCACCUUUUAAUGUGAAAGGUUCUACCUCAAUUCUCUACACUCACACAGACACACACAUAGAGUUGGGGAAGGUAAGCUUCUCUUUGGAACUUUCAACAAUUUGCACAUGCCCUAUAAAAAGAGAGCGUUGGAGAGGUAUAUCUGUCUUCAGAACAGUGAACAUUAAUACCUUAAAUCUCUCUAAAGCUUCAUUGUUUUUCUUGUGUCCUAAGAGAAUGCUAGAAGAUAAUUAGCAACAUAUCCAAAAUUUGUGCUACCAGUAUGAUUUAUCUUUAUAAGAAAACACUGCUAUAUUAAGUUGCAUUAGUCUUUAUGCACAUAAAUUGAUGCAACUAUUAUUUACAUUUUGACAUGAUUUUCAAGAAUCACUAUCUUAUGGACAUCAAUGGUGAGGAUUUUUUUGCUGAAUUUAAUUUACUUCACCGUUUCUCCACGAGGCUUGAACCCUCGAGCCUUGACCACUAGGCCAAAGCCAAUAGAACUAUAAAUUUGGUUCUAUUUUGGGGCAUAGUACCUACACAUUUUACAUUUCAUAUACUUUUCCAAUAUGUGUGACCCUUUGUGUUUCCAAUCUAGUUACUACAUUUUUUGACAUCGAGUCCUUUGAAAUUUGGAAAAGCACAUUCAUGGAAUAUGUUUCUAUGAAUUGUUAUCUUCAAAAUGUAAUUUGAUAUAUGACUAUGUUUUGCAAAACAUGGUUUUAGUGGGUUGCUUGAGAAUUUUCAAAAUCUUCUUUUGAUGCAAUGGACUUGCAAUGAUCAUAGAAUUAAGUUAGCUAUAUAUAAUUGGUAUGAUGUCAUUUUCAAGCUUUCGUUUUUUCUCCUUAACACACACAUUUAUAAAUGAACUCCCUCACUCCCAAACAUGUAAUUCUAAAGAGUUAAUUGCAAAACGCAUCCGGUUGGUUUGGUCCAACUGCACUUUAUUACCUAAACUUUAGAUAAUUGCACAAUGAACCCCUUAACAUAUUUUAGCGCCACAUGUUGAACCCUUUUGGCCCAUUUUCGUCUAUUUUGACCUAUCACUAUGUUAAAUUAAAAGGGUAAAAUAGACCUAAGAACCUAUAACAUUACAUUUUAGUACAUUCUUAAGUCUAUUUCACCCUUUUAAAUUCCACAUUGAUUGGUCAAAAUAGACAAAAAUUGUCCAAAAGGGUUCAAGGUGCGUCGCUGAAACAUGUCAAGGGAUGCAUUUGGCAAUUAUUUAAAGUUUAGGUAAUAAAGUGCAAUUUGCCCAAACUAAAGGGUUGCAUUUUGCAAUUAAAUCAAUUUUAAAUUGCAAGUACAUUAAUUUUUUCACUUUGUUUACGUUGUGUACCACACCUACAUGGAAAAAGUAUAAGUUUUACUAAUGUUUGUUUUGUUUGCAUAUAGUUUUACUCAUUUAAUCAGCAUAAUUGAGCAGGAUUGGGCUUAAGUAUUACUCCCUCUGUCCCAAAAUAAGUGUCGCUUUGACUUUUUUCACGUAAUUUGAGGUGUAAAAAAGUCAUACUUCUACGUAUUAUUUUUCGAAUUUUCUUUUUCUGAAUAAAAGUUUAACACAUAUAUUUUUAUUCAGAAAAAGAAAAUUUGGAAAAUAAUGUGUAUAAGUAUGUUUUUCUUGCACCUUAAAUUACGUGCAGAAAGUCAAAGCGACACUUAUUUUGGGAUGGAGGGAGUACUGAUUUUCUUUUAAUCAAAUGAGAGAUAAACAUGCCAUCUGAACCGGCAAAGAAGUCUGUUGUGGUUUACAGUGAAAUGUUUUCCUUGCAAGGGAGUGUUGGUGCGUUAAAAUCUUUGGCUGUAAAUAGUUUACAGAGGAACGGUAGCUAGUGCCUAAAAUCCUUUUCAGCUGUAGCUUACAGAGGAAUUGAAACCCAUUCUCUCACUCAAAACGGUUGAUGGAAUGUGCAUUGGAUACAAUAAUGCAAGUCUCUAGUGCUAGGGCCAGGCACUCAAAUGCACUUAUAGAUGUGAAUGUAUCACUUCAACCUCUGUUUAAUUCAGUUGAAGCUUCGCAAAAGCACAUGUUGUUUUCCCUAUGUUAAACGGUUUAACUUUUCUGAUAGUCAUUGAUGUUGAAGUGUUUUUUCUGGGUGGAGGUGGGGGAGGGGGGUUCUGCACAGUGCACAUAGACAUUUGGUUCCUUUAUUGGCUAACGUGAAAUGGUUUGUGAGCUAUGCCUUUGUCAGUGGUUCAUAAUUUUUUUGGGAAUAUGUGCCUAUAAAAGGCACUCAUGGGAGUAUUCUACUGUAGCAUGAAAAUAAGGAGGGUCAAUCUAGCAGAGUGAUGAGCAGAACCAUCUGCUUUGGAUAUAUAUGGUAUUUUUUAGUAUCUGCUUUACUUCGAGAGAGCAAAGCACUCACCUUUUUGUUAAGUUCUUGGCCUAGAUCUAGAUCAUCUAUACAAAUGUUUCGGAGGUCAGAGGUUCAGGUCGUAUCCUUAAAGUUUGUCAGCUGUAUUUCUGAUGAUUGUUUAUGUCGGACUGGAUGAGCAGUUAGCAUGCCACUUAUACUUGCAGCAAAAGGUUUUUUGUAGUUUCAGCACGAGCUCUUUAUUUCCAGUAACAAAAAAAUUUGGAGGCUGGCCUGCCUAUUCAGUCUAAAAGCUGAUCAUACUGGCAAUCUCUCUGAAUUUUUACUAUGAAUCAUUUUUUUUCCUACCUAUUUAAACUGCGAAAGUUGCUGGAGUCAUAUAUUCUGCUGCUACUGAGGUGGGAGUGGGAGUUGAUGUUCUAUGUAGAUUGCUAUAUGAUGUGUGAUAUAAUAUUACAUACUAUCAACAAUUCUUCAGAAGAUUCUUGGAAAUAAUCCACCUGUUGCUGCUUUUGUAGUUGGUAAGGGAAAUUACCUGUCUUGUCUCCUCUUGGGAUUCUGUGAUUUCAUAUAGAUAGCAAAUUUAUAGCAGGCUAGUUUAUUUAAGAAAAUGUCUGAAGCUGACGUGGUUGUGUAUUUUGUGUGGCAAUAAACAAUGUUCCACGAGAUCGUAUUGUCUCAGAUGGUUUGUUUUAUCAUCCAAUUCUCUCCGAGCAGUGCUCAAGAAUGAUCAAUUUAGUGCUAGUCUGACUAAAAGUUUCUUCUUUUUGUAGGCUUAGGAGCUCUCUUUGGCUACAAUUUAAACCCCAUCAGAUAGCUGCUGGAGCUGCAUAUCUUGCUGCAAAGUCUGUGAACAUGGAUCUCACUUCAUCACAGCAUGUCUGGCAGGAGUUCCAGACACCACCCUCUGUACUUCAAGGUAUGUGUACAAUUAAUGUUUAGGUAUAUAUUCUCUAGGUUUGCUUACAAUCUGCUGCUGUUCGACCACGGGGAAAUAUGGUGCUUUCCAAGUUUUAUACAUAGAACUAUAUUGUAUUAUUCAUGUCAACUUCUUAGAGCCGGUUGCUUUGAGACUCAUUCUUUUCGUCAAUGCUCUAGAGCAUAUCAUUUGUUUACCUAUGAAUUAUACUCGCUUGUAUAAAGGUUAUGACAUGCAGUGGCUUUUUUCUUUAAUCAGAUGUUGUCCAGCAAUUAAUGGAGCUCUUUUAGAAGAUAGCAUGGAAGACAAGUACAGUGGGUCAGUGACGUGUGAGUUGUAUCAGUUUUUUAGGGUGGCGAUCGUUCAUAUACCUGAUGUGAGGUCGUCAGUGUUUAGGUGUAUAUAUAGUAAAGCGGCUAUGAAGGAGAGUUUUUGUUUAGAGAUAUUAUUACUGAUUGAAGAAAAUUUCAAUCAUGGAAAAGAUUAUAAAUUUACUGUGUUUUUGUAUCUUUUGGCUACACGAAUCUUGUUUAUUUCGUUUUGUUUGAGAAGUGUUUAGCACUUGUAGUGGAUUGGUGAUUUACUACUUGCCUCUUUAAAUGUAUUUUCUCCGGUUGCGAGAUUAAUCUUCCCCUUUGAUUUUUCUUGUAUAUCUGCCAGUGCUAACAUAUUUGAUUUGAUUUACGUACUUCAAACACUGUUUAGCCCCGAUUGUAGUUUAUUGUCCAACCAUCAGACAGGUGUUUCAUUUAAUCUGGUUUGCGGCUUGGCAGCUUACUGAACAUUACCAAGAGGAAUUUUCAUGUGCGCCUUUAAGAAUUUAGUGGAAAGCUUUAGUUUGGAAAAAGGAUUAAUUAUUCCUGACAAAAAAAAAAAAAGGGAUUGAUUAUCAACCAAGAUAUCAACUUCGCAACUCAAUUCAUGGGAUAUUACUUGAGUUACUAAACUGAUUUAGUGAUAUCAAAAACUUAGCUAAGGCAUACAAUGAACUAUAUAUUGAACAUUACCGAUAUUUUCUUAUAGUGAAUGGGUUGGCAAGAAAAUUCUAAACCUCCUUCUUAAUUUUCUUGUGUUUUUGGGUUUCAAAUUACAUUUACAAUUCUUAAUAAAUUAUUAUUAAAUACACACACACAUAGAGGCUAAAUCAAGUAAAAAUGUACCUUGUAAUAAAAAUUAGAAAUUACUCUUAAAAGUUACAUUAUUCUUAAUCAUAUAUUUAUAUAAAUAAUAUAUAUACUCAUGUUAUAUAUACUCAAAAAUCAAAAAGGAGAAAGUGGUAAAUAAAUAAAUAUAUAAAUAUUUGUCUUUUUAAUAUUAUUGCUCAUGUUUAUUGUAAAUAACUUAUUUGUAUAUGAUUUUUUUAACAUGAAAAAAAGACACGUGGAUAAAUUCUUGUAUAUAUUAGUUAACAACAUAGUUAAAUUAAAUAAUACUCCCUCUGUCCCAGCCGAAUUUUUUAUAUAAAAUAUAGUUUUAUAAUAUUUUUUUAAUUUUUCACAAUAAAAUUUGAUGUUUGAAUUUAAAUCAAACAUAUAAUAAUUAGUUGUGUUCACUUGGUGUGAAUGGAAUGGAGGAAGAAUGGAAUGAAUUUUGUACUCUAAAAUGAUGUUGAUAAAAAAAAAUGUAUAUAAUUUUCAUUCAUUUAAUCAUUUUAAUCUUACUUUUGACUAUAGUUCUAAUACACAUGUUGUCGAAGGAAUGCUCAUUCCAUUUCAACAUCACGUGUCUUCACAAUUUUUCUCAAAAUUUUUUUUACUAUAUUCAUAUUUUAUCACCAUUAUUUCAUCAAGUAAACACAGCCUAAGAGAUACAAGAGGUAGUGUGUGUAGUAUUGAAAAGUAGUUUAUUUUGGGACGUUCCGGAAACGAGGUGACAUGAAAUGGCACGGAGGCCCAAUGGGCCAUGACCCAUAUAUAGAGCGAAUGUGUAAUCAGGGUUCUGAAUUCUGAUAUGUAUUUCUCAGUGUAAUCAAUCAAUCUGAAGAUGAAUCUUACAUACGAUCGCGAUAUAUGCCCGGCCGAAUGGGUGGAAAUGGUGAAAGAUGCACAGAUUCGGGACGGGAAGCGUAAGUAUCAACCACCGCCAGAGUCGCCGGAAAAAGAAGUUCCGAAGAGGUCAAUUCGCGAUAUUCUCUUAAAUCCAAGUCAUCCAUGGGGCUAUGAUAAACUUGGCAAGACCAACCUGUUCCAUCUUUUCACUGCGGCCGGUACACAAUGCCUGUACACAAGGAAAGGCGAUGCGGUAAAGUUUAAUGCUAAUUUAUAUUUUAUUGUUGUAGAUUUUUACUGUUAUUCGUGUUCGAGGAAUUAUUUGUGAAUUUUAAUUGUGUUGGUUGUUAUUGUUAUUGAAAUUGGAAUCAGUAUGCAAAAUUUUCAGGUUAAGGUUAUAAUAAUACGGAAUUAUUAUUUUGUUGUUGUGUUUCAUGGUGUAUGUUAAUUUGUCUAAAACUAGUGUGAUUGAUUAUUCUGUGUUCCCCUCUCAGGUUAAGGUUGACGAACUGCGGGACAAAUUUGUUAUUCUCUAUUUCUUGAGAGAUGAUGUCCGGAAUGUGGCUACUUGUCCAGAAUAUAUACCCGACUUGAUUGAAACUUACCAAAUUCACGGCAAAUCUGAGCUUGAGAUUGUCUUUAUCUGGCUUGGUGACGACAAAGAGGCGUUCUCUAAUCAGUUCUAUAUGCCGUGGCUUGCUGUCUUACCAGAGGAUGAGAGAACGGUCAAUGUCCUUACGGAGGAGUUUGACUUUAUAGGCCCUGUGUGCUUCCUUCUUUUUGACCGCAAUGGCUUCUUGUGUCUUUAUGAUGCCAGAGCGAACAUCAAUGCUUAUGGUGUCUUAGGCUUUCCUUUUACCCAUGAAAAGAUUGAGGAAGUAGAUAAGGAAGCUGCCAAACUCCUUUCUGAAAUCAUUGAUGGCAAACCAGUUACAUUGCCUGAUAUUUUGGGUGCCCAUGUAAUUUCCCCCACAGGAGACAAGGCAAGUGAACAUUUUAUAUUUCGCGUGCAAGGCACAGAUUGAUCAUUCAUACCAAAGUAUAUUAGAUGUAUUUCGCAAGUCCACAUUUUCAUUCCCAUUUGUCGGGAAUCUCUCCAUAUGUUGUGUCUGACCCAUGUUUAUGUUUUUUUGCAGGUACCUACCUCCGACCUAAAAAGUAAGACCGUGGGUCUUUACAUGUUGAAUGAAUAUCCAUCUCGUAUUAUCCUUGAGGAGUUGAAACGUAUCUGCGAGGAUAAGAAAGAGGAUUUUGUCUUAAUUCCCAUCAUCACAUCGUACCAUUCCUCAUGGUCAUGGAUCAGAGCCGGAUGCAGCCAUCUCGAACGUAGCAUCCCUUGGUACACUCUGCCCGCUAUUAAGUGUCGCUACUUGAAUUCAGUUUUCCAUAAUAAACUUAAGGAGCCGUAUUUUUCGUAUGGAGCAUGUGAUCUAGUUAUUCUUAAAGGCGAUAAGCAUAUUCCUGUCAGCUAUUUUGCCUUGCACAUCUUUGCAUGCUUCGGAGUUGAUGCCUACCCGUUUACCAUAGAAAACGCCGUGCAAGUGGCAAAGAAGGAACAACAAGGCAACAUAGUACUGAAGGAAAUAUUAUCGUCCAAGUCUAUUUUACGUAGACAAGAUUCAGCCGGCAGUGAGGUAUGUGUCAUUAUUUAUGAGCACUAUCUCGCAUGAUAUAGUUUUUGUUUUUAUUAUCAUAUUAUUUUAUUGAAGAUAAUAGUUUUUGUUAUUUUCAAUCACAUACUAUUUUAUUGAAACGUCUUCUGAAACUUGUACUAAUAAUCUGCCUGGCAGGAAGUGAUCACUGUUUCAGAGCUCGAUGGUAGACAUGUCUUAUUAUUGUUUGGGACUCAUGGUUGUGAGUGGGAAUCAUUUUUGUCAACCAUAAAGAAUUGGUAUGUUGACAAGCCACAUGAUGUUGACUUCGAGAUCAUCUACAUUCAUUUGGAUAUCAGUUUAGAAUCUACUUCCUUCUCAAGCACUAUCGAGAAAAUGCCUUGGGUGGUCCACUCGUCUAAACCAGAGGUUGCAGUUUCCUUGUUCGAGUGUGUGUUUCCCAUAUCUGCACACCUCCCUGCCAUUGCAGCCUUUGGGGUAAAUGGGCAUCUAGAAACAAAAGGAUCAGACUUAGCUUCUAAUGAUAAGUUGGUCUCUCAGUAUCCAUUUAUACAGGCUGAUAUGUAUGAUGAGGUUUAUCAAGAACUAAAAGACGAGCACGGAUGGGACUUGAAAAAUCUCUUUCCCACUCCUGAAGAGAUAGAGAUCCGCUCUUUAAUGUACAGACGGAUUUAUGGAUAAAUCACUCAGAUGGCUCUACUUAUAUGUAUUUAGAUAUCAAAGUCUGUAUGCAGUGAGUAAACUGGGUUAAGCAAAAACUAGAACAAUAUUGUUUUUAGUUUUUACGAGGAUAUUUUUUGUGCAGAAAUUUGUACUGAUAUUGCUUUUAUGCGUAUGACCCUUUUAUAUGCGUUUAUUUUAAUGUGUUUAUGUUCUUGUCUUGAUUGGCUUUCAGAAUUUCCAUUUAAUUGUGGGCAUGAUCUCGUGAUACCUUAAAUCUUAACUUCCUUUAUUCAGGAAUAGAGAUUGAUAUAGAAUUUCUUAUGAUAAUUUCUUUAACAUAUAAUUUAUAUAAUCUAUUAUAUAUAUAAUACCGACUGGGUUUUGAUUAUUUCACUUAUUUAAUACUUUUUAUCACUUAUAUUAAUUGUUGUUGCGUGUAAUUGUGUGUAUGAUUGUGUUGUUGAUUGUUUGUGUAGUGUAUAGAGUGUGAAGAAUUGAUUUGUGAUGAUGGGUAUUCUCCCUCCGGGGUUUCGGUUUCAUCCGAUUGAUGUGGAGUUGGUUAUGUAUUAUUGAAAGAGGAAAGUGAUGGGCAAGAAGUUUCAGUUUGAGGCUAUGGUUGAGCUGAAUGUGUAUAAAUAUGAGCUUUGGGAUCUUGCAGGUUUGUUGUUGAUUAUGGCUUUUUUAUAUUGUUUUGUAAUAUGGGUUGUUUGAUUUUUGUGGAUUUUGGUUUUGUGGGUUGAAUUUUUUUGGGACUGGAUUAGGUUGGAAGAGGGGACUUUAGGGGUUGGUAUGAUUGAUUUGUAAUAUUGUCAUGUGCACAUUUAGCACUCCUCUUUGGCGCACUCAAAAUGUAAAUGAGAGACUUAUUUCACAUGUGUACUCUUACAAAUACAAAAUUUGACGAUGUGUGCAUGAGGUCAAAGGACUAGGAUAAAAAGAAAAUCUAGCUCCAGUACCCAUGCUAUUUACGAUUGAGCAGGAAUACUCAAUGUUGUAGCAUUUGUUGUAAUUUCCAUGUCAAAUAUUCUCAACACCACAGUAAGUAAUAAUCUUCUGUAAGAUGCUUGUAGAAAGUAAAACACAUUUUCACUCGCAUCUAUUUCAGAACUAUAUUGUCUCAUGAUUAGCCAAUACUGUUUUAUAAUACUAUUUAAAUUGAUAGUUCAAAGUUCAACAUUAACAUGGACUAAAUUACUGUUUCAAACAUAGUCCUCAAAGCUUGGGACUAAGGGAUUUGAAGGAUAUUGUAAUAUUGGAACAUUGGGGGUGUUACUGAUUGUUUUUUGUGAAAUUACUUAUUCUUGUUGCUGGUUUGUAGUGCAGCGAGUAUGGUUUAAGUGAGUCCCUUAUAACUUUCAUGUGGGAGCCAUGAUACAAUUACCUAGUGAUAUGUUACAAAUUUGGUUUUUGGAUUUAACGAUUCUAGAAAGCCACCUUUAUCUCUAUCCAUAACAAACUAAGUCAGGGAGAUUCAUGGUUUCCAGCAUCUGGCAUCGAAAUAAACCAUUUAAACCUACAGUAUGAAAAUAAAAAUUUGUGAUGUGAUUGUCACGCACCUUAUAACUCUUAGGUUGUGUUCACUUCAUGUAAUGGAAUGAGGGGAGAAUGAAAUGAAACUAUAUGAACAAGUUUUAUGAAGAUUGGAGAAAGUAUGAGGCAAUAAUGAUUAAAUAUGAGUGAGUUAAAAAAUUUCAUGAAAAAGAUGAUAGGAAAAAAUGAUGAACAAAUGGAAUCAACAUUCCUUUCAAAACAUGUGGGUUAGAUUUUUAGUUAAAAUAGUUAGAAUGGAAUGAUUGAAGGAAUGAAAAUUAUAAACAAUUUCACUAAUCACUCUCAAUUUAUAAUAUAAAUUUCAUUCCAUUCUUCCCUCAUUCCAUUCCAUGAAGUGAACACAACCUUAGUCUUAUGCUUUAUGCGUUAUAGAGGUUUAGCCUUUUGAUAGUGCUUACAGUUGUCCCUUAAUAAUUUAGAUUCUUUACAUAUUUCAGAAACUUGUGAUUCUUGUACCUAUUAUUCAGUCAACUUACUAAUUUCAGAAAAAUUCGUAGUCUGUACCAAACCAAACGGCUCCAUGUUCUCUUUAGUUCAAGGGAAAAUGCAAAGUGGAAAUGUAAAAGGCUUUUCUUCCCCUAACAAAUUAUUAGGAACUAACUUCUUUAGUUUCUCAACUUCAUGGUUAUAGAUCUCUCUUCAUUUUAUCACCAUUUUCUUUUUUAGCCCUACAAUAGAUUUACAUUAUACUUCAUAGUUCAGUAAAAUAAUUAAAGAUAGAUCAGUAAGAUGGUAUUUAAUAGCACUAGUUUUGAGUUUUCUUUCACUUUCAUAAACAGCAUCCUUAAACAAGGAUAAAUUUUGGCAUGCUCUCUUAAUCCCCAGAUGAUCUUUCCUACAAUUCUCCAAGAUAACAAUGAUUCCCAGGAAUUACAAGGGCCUUGAGGCCAUAUACACUAUACAGUAAUCAGGUACCUUUGUUUCUUAGCGUUAACUGCAUCAAAUAAUUGAAACAGUUCUGAUACUGCAUAAUCUAUGAAAUUGCCAUGUUUUGUGAUUAUAUAAAUUAGGCCAUGUUCAAUGCAUUAUUUAAAGUGAGUAGAGCUCAAAAUACACUAGUGAAGGAGAAGUGCACAAAAUUUUUCUUAUAUGGAUGGGUGAGUGAGCUAAGACAUUAUUAUAUGUUAAUUACUUCCUGCAAAAGGCACCUGAAGCACAUUUGGGAGCCUUCAUGUCCAUGCCAAAGAAAUAUGUAAAGAAUCUGAAUAGUAGUUUGCAAAAGUGAGCUACGGAGUAAUACUGAAUGCAUAUAUGUAUUGCUCGACAUAUAUCAAUGAAGGUCAUCCCCAUUAUGGUUUAGCGGAGGUCCAAUGUGUGCAAACUUAACUUCUUUUUUUCUUCAGGAAGAGGCUGUCAUGUAAAGAAAAAGAAUUAGUUCUGUCAUGCUUAUUUGAGUUUGGGAGAUCCAGUCUACUGUCACUUAUACACCUACCACGUCAAUGAACACAACUUCCUGAAUAACUUACGAGUAAAAUGCAAAGUGUUGACCAAACUUUAUCCAUUUUUUACAUUUUAGUGACUAAAAUUUCAAAUUUGAAAAUAGGUGGCUGGACUUUGUUUUUAUGUCUCAAAGAAAUGGCUAAUGCCCACGUUUCUGAGAAAAAAUUAAUCAAAAAGUGGCUUUUAGCCACAUUUUUGAUGAAUUAAGACAAUAUAUGGUAACAGUAUUGCAAAUUUGAAUUUGAAUUUGAAUAUGAAUUAAGACAAUUUGACAAUAUAUGGCACUAACAUAUAUUUUACUCAUAACUUAUAUUUAUCAUUUCCCAUAAUUGCUUUUGGGACUUGUGUUUAUGUAACUAUCAUUUCCCAUAAAUUGUUUUUGGGACUUCUGUUUAUAUAACUCCACAGUGAUACGCAUCACUAGAUUGAUUAGUUGUACUGUUGUAAACGGAGCUCUUAAACAAGCUCCUAUCCUUCAAUUUAAAGAGGAAAUCAAAAAAUAGUGCUUCAAUGGGCUCUUAGAUGCUCUUUAAAAAUUUAAGAGCUUACCAUCUCUCCUCUCUUUUAAAGAGCAUCUAGUAGCUCUUAACUAAUAUUAUAUUAAUUUUUCACCCACUACACAUUCAACCCUUUUCUCUCUUUUCACUUCUCUUUCUAAUUUAUAUGAAUAAAAUAUUAAUAGAGAGCAUGUAUAAAGAGGAGCAUUGGAGUUGGAAGGUUUUUCAAUGUCUUAACUCACUAAGAGCCACAUAUUAUAUUAUAUUUUAAAGAGUGAUUUAAGAGCACCAUUGGAGAUGCUUAAUCCAGCUUUUUAUUUCUCAUUCUUGUAUUUGUGUAAACCAACUCAAUCGGUCUGCAAGUGCCCCUCUUUUUGGUUCUAUUUUUAUUUUUGUCAUUCUUAGUCUUCUUGUUUAUGCUUUUUGGAAGUUUAGUUUUGGGUUCUAUUGACAGGUCUGUAUAUUUUCCAUGCAGAGAUCUUAUCCCCCCUCCCUUCCUCUAUUUCCCUCUCUCCCCCUCUCCUUUGUUACCCAAACUCAGCUAGAAUGUCAAACAUGGAUAUGAGUUGUUAUCCAGACUCAGCUAAAAUGUCCAACAUGGAUAUGAGUCCAAGUGCAUUCCCUUAUAUUACUGUAGCCCAUGCAUAUGUUGAAAUUUUCAACUGUUGAGAAAUGAAACUUACCUAAUGGUCUAGAUUAUGCAGCUUUAAGUCAUUUGUAGAAUUCACUAUUGUCACAAGAUUAUUUUAUUUUAUCUGAAUAGCAUCACGUGGAUGAAUGCAUUAAAAGCUUCAUAUAGAUGUAUUCUUUAAGAAAAUAAUAAUGAUGUAAAAAGACUGGCUUAGACUUUUUAUACUGUCAAAGAAGAUGGGGGAACCAUAAAAAUUAUAUUUGGCUAGUCUUAUCGUUUUAAUAAUCUAUUUGCUUUUUUUCUAAAAAAUUACACUAGCAAUGUCCUACUCUAAUAAAACAUAUUUGGUAGAAGGAUUUAUGUCAAUUUUAAAAACCACACAAAUCUAAUAGGAACAUAUUUGGUACAAGGGUUUAUGUCAAUUUUGAAAACCACACGAGAACUAUAAAAGAAAAAUAAAGACUACCUUGUGCAGAAUUAGUAGUCAUUAUUCAAUGCUAAUAAGAAGUGAACAGAGAAAAACAGUUUGAUAGCUGUUGUAUUUAAAAUAGCAAUUCUGAGCAGGAAAAUAUUUGCAAACGUGAUCUCACCAACAAGCUUUUAGGCAUCGGUAAAGGGUUCUACGUUCUACCACAACAAAAUAUGUGCCAUCGGCGAUAUCAAAAAUGUCGUUUGGCAGGUUUUGAAUUUUGAUAAUCUAUAAAACACACAUCAGGAAUUUUUCUCUGUACACGACAAUUAUAUGCAGGGCUGAGCAUUUGGUAAAACCGAAUGGAACUGAAUUUAAAUUCGAUUAACCGAAACUGAAAUAGCAGAAAAAACGCUGCCGAAAAUCGAACCGAAAUUAAUUUGGUUUUUAAACCGAACCGAAAUUGAUAUUUCGAUUACCGAAAACCAAAAAUUGGCAAAAUUCUGAAUUAUAGAAAGCAAACACAUAAAUAAUAAGUUUACAAGUCAUGAGUACGAUUAUUGAAUCUGAAAAAUCAAAUACAUCCCAGCAUUAAUUAACCUCCAUAAAUAUACAUCCCGACUGAAGCUGCCGUAGAACUCGCAUCCAUGUUAAUUUUCUCCAAUGCUGAAAAAAGAAAAUACACUAAUUAACCUCCAUAAAUAUAAGAGUGAGCAGUUAAUAAAUAAUCAAACAAAUAAAGAAACAUACCCUCAUGUUUCUUUUCUUCCGGAUCCUCCUCCGCACUUAGAGCUUUUACACUCCUCAUCCAAUCUUCUGCACAUAUAAGUGCUUCAAUCAUUUUAAGGUGUAGUGGACUCCUAAAAUCAUUUCGAACUCUACCACCGUGUUAAAAGCCGAUUCCGAAGCUACGGUGGAUAUUGAAAAAGCUAACACAUCUCGGGCCAUUUGGGAUAGAAUAGGAAAUCUUAUAAAAUUAUGCCUCCACCAUUAUAAUGUCAAACUCAUCGGAAUCCCUAAAAGUUUUUGGUUUCUCACCCAAAAAUUCUUCAAAGUCCGAUGCACUACGUUCACUUGGAUUCAAUCUAAUAUCUCUCUCAAAUUGCAUCCUCAAUAAUUGAGAUGGAUGCACAUGGCCAAGAUCUUCCUCCCUCAUUAAUUCUCUAGCAUCACACCUUUGAUUAUUAGGUGCAAUCCUUGACUUAUAUAACUUAUAUGCAUAAAUUUAUGAGUUGUUAUCUUGCAGCAAGUGCUACAUGGGGCGGAGUAUCUGGAAUUGGACGCUCAUUUGGUUCAUCUUUUGAACAUAUUCUCCACCAGAAGGGAAGUCAGAUUCAACUAGAGUUGGGAAAUGUGUAUGUUUUAUAAUGCUUUUACAGGAGGCUCUUCUAUAUCUAGUGUACAUAAUAAUAAAAACAUGAGGAGUAGCUCUCUUGUCUUGAUCAAGGUCAUUAAGUUAUGAAUAGGCCGAUGUUUAACCUCUACAUUUUGCGUUACUUCAUGAUUUUUUUAAGGAAGGAGCUUUAAUAGUAAUCUAGACCUUAACUACAAAAAAGUUGAGUAAAACUAAAAAGAGAUAUUUACUACAAUCAAAGAAAUAUAAUAGACCCGUUAGAUGUUUUUCUAGUCUGAAGGACGUAUGUAAUAAAAGAAUAACGGUAAAGACAGUUUGUUGGACAUUUUAAACUCCAAAUUAAAUCUUAGUUCCUUUCAAAUAUGAAAAACGUUGAAAUUGUGGGAUAAAUUGAACAACAUCGUGCCUAAGGAUAAAUAGCUGAACUUUGGUCAUUCUUGCUCAGUCUUACACUAAAACUUGGACUGCAUUGUAUAUCUUCUUUCUAACAAAUUCUCUUUGUUAAAAAAGCAUUUACCUUAUGAUUUUAUAGAUAUAUUUUAUCAGUAUUAGAGCAUAACUUUGCUGUAUAGGCUGAAAAUCUGUGCGUGAGCUGUAAUAAAGGUAUAAAAAUCAAAUUUUGUUGUUGGUACAUAUGAGGGUUGAGGUCUGUCAAGGAUGGGAGAUACAACUUUCCCAUCUCAAAAUCUCAGUGUUUGAAAUAAUCUCAGAGACCCAAUUACCAUUCAACAACAAAUUCUCAGUAACAGUUGCAGAGCAAGGAAAAAAGGGAAUUAAGUUGCAUGAUUUUUGUAAAUUAUUUAGCGAUAUUGUCAAUUGUAAUGUACUUUGUAGUUUAUAUACAUUACACAAGUACAAGAAGGUGUUUAGGUAUUACUAAUGUAGUAGAAUGAUCUGAGGGUGUUUUACUCUAUUUGAAUAUAUAGUCAAUAAUUGUUAUUUGUUAGUAGGAAGUAGCUAUCAGUGGUGGGUCGUUGCGAGUUUAGUUAGUAUUUCACUUGGCAGAGACAUGUCUGCACUCUGCGAGAAUACUCUUAUCUCUGUAGCAGUUUGCCCAACCACAAAGCUACUUAAGAUUUUAAACAUAAAAGCCCCUGUUCCAGAAGCCUUAAACAUGAAAACACCUGAGAUGAGUAUCAGAGUAUGGAAGAAUGUUGGGAGCUUGGUGCAAAACAUAGGCUUCCGUUGCCUUUGGUUGGGGUAAAUGGAUGGAAUGAAAAUGAGAUAACUGGGAAUGGAGCAUUUCUUCCCAAAGAGUGGGGAAUUUGAGUUCUAGUUAAAGAUUAUAAGAUUGGAAUGAGGGAAGUAAUGAAAUUUGUAAAUAUUAAAUAUACUAUAGUUCAAACACCUCUACCAAACACUGACUUAAGUGAAUUACAAAGAGAAUACUGAAUAGCAUAUAUAUAUAAGCCUCGUUUCAGCGGGGAUAGUAAAUGGUUUUAUACAGAAUUGCACACCAUGUAUAGAGGAAGGUCAUGAACAUGGCCAUUUUCUGGUGGCCAUAGAACAAACACAAAACUACUUAAGAUUUUAACCAUAAAAAGCCCCUGUUCCAGAAGCCUUAAAAAUAUACAUGAAAAUUCACAAACUUCACACAUACCUGACGAAUAUGUAUAAAUCAACUUGAUAUAGCUAUCUCAAAUCAAUAAAAUCUGUAGUCCUAUUUCUGAAGUAAAAUACAAUUUCAGCGGGGAUAGUAAAUGUUUUUAUACAAAAUUGCACACCAUGUAUAGAGGAAGGUCAUGAACAUGGCCAUUUUCUGGUGGCAAUAGACCAAACACAAAGCAACUUAAGAUUUUAACCAUAAAAAGCCCCUGUUCCAGAAGCCUUAAACAUAUACAUGAAAAUUCACAAACUUCACGCAUACCUGAAGAAUAUGUAUAAAUCAACUUGAUAUAGCUAUCUCAAAUCAAUAAAAUCUUUAGUCCUAUUUCUGAAGGAUAAAUACAAUUUCUUAUAUCUGUGUUCUUAAUCUUUUUUCUUUUCCGCAAACUCCUGUUCGAAUCAACUAAAAGAUAUGACGCUUACCUGCUCAUAAAGUAUAGUGCAGAUGAUCAUCAGAAGUUGCUUGGAAUUUUCUUAUGCCUAGAAUCAGUACUCCUGCAGUGUCCUGCGCAAACGUUACCACUUAGGUUACAAAAACUCCUGAACAUUCUAUAACUAGUUAUUACCCUUAAUCGCAACUUGAAGAUUUCAGGAAACUGAAAACGUGUGUACACACUCAAUAUGUUCACGAAUUAAACAAAGCUACACGACAAAAAAUGCUCUUGAAGCGGUCCAUCUACCAAGGAACCAGAAGUCAGAUGAAGCGCAGAGUUCAAAGAUAAGAAGAGGAUCAAUCUGCUUGUCUUGCAUUGCCAAAAAAUAAUAGUAAUCCUUAUUUCCCUAUGUCUAGGUACAAGUUAACAACGACAUGCAAAUUUCUUUCCUAACAUUUAUGUUUCCUCAUAAUUGGCUAUGCCUUCUUUUUAUUUUUUAGUUUGUUCUUUGUCCCGAAUUUGAUUAGAUCCUCCAAGCUCAUUGUGCCACCUCGGCCACUUGUGCUUUCUCUGGCAUGUGCGGUCCUACCUCCCUGAAAAAACAAGCAAACCAAAAAUGCGAUUAGAAAAUAUAAUUAUAUACAAUUAAAACACAAAUUCUUUAGUAUGUCUCACCAAUUCUUUGGUAUGUGUAUUCAAAAUCCUUCGGUCUUCUGCAUUUAUAAGUAACAUUACAUCGUGGUCUGGAUUUGUGUGAGUAUGAUCUGCUUCAGGUUCAGAGAAACAUCUGUAAUAAGUGUUUUCAGUACCUUUUGCUUUCGUAUCUGAAAACGGAACUAUAUACUUGAUUUGUUGUACCACACACAACUUUUUAUCACCAUGUCCCACCUUUUUCGUGCAUCUGACAUGAACUGCAGACGGAACAGGGCAAAAUAGACUCCCACUACGCCAAAAAUUGUUGAACUUGGUGGUGUUGACAGAAUUUACAACAUCAACCGCCUUAUCGUUCCCCUCAUCCACCAGCUUCAAUGCAAAAUUUGACCUAGUAUUGCCCCUAAAUAAGUUCAAACACCUUAAUCCCCUAAUAAUUUCAUCACAAUUGUCGUACAAGUCUAGAGACAACUCCACGUACUUUUGUACUGUGAGAUUCAUUUCCAUACCAUGUUUAUCAUACUCUUGUAUUAAGAACCAGAACUUUCGUUUUACAUAGCCAAUAGUUAAUCGAUUGUUAUUGCAAUCGUAGUCAGUAUCCCAUGAGUUUACCCCUGACCACAUAUCAUAUAUCUUUUGUCGAAGUGAAGCUGUCAAUGAGUUGAGAUAUUCCUAUAAAACAUGUCCAAAUAAAAACAUAUAUCAAUAUAGCAUACUGACUGAGCAUAUAUAUCAACACUAAAUUACAAAAACGAAACAUACCGCUAAUUGCAAAGAUAUGUUCGAAUCUUCUGCUCUUUGUUUAUAUUCAGGAACUAGCGCACCGUCACGAAGAAAAACUCCAUGUUGUACAAACCAGAUUUCUUUUUCAGUCAACAACUUGAUAUUAUUUUCAAGUUUUUGGUCAUUAGAGUCGACAUCAGUGCUGGGUACCCAAAAGAAAGCAUGAACAAUGUAGCGAUCCUCCAUAUUCUAAAAUAACAAAUCACAUGAUAUAUUAUAGCCAUAACGUCAACUGAGUUUGAAAGAUAAAAUCUCACCAACUUACAUAACAAUCAUCUUUCAAAACUUAAAAGAUAAAACAACCGGAAACUAACUUCUCCUAGUCUAACAAUCUAAAAUUUGAUUAUAUGCAAAAAAAUAUGGAACAGAUCUGCAAUCAAUUAAACAGAAGCCUCGAAAUAAAACAAAUAUUAAACACAAUAUCAUCUGAAAAAUUGGUUGAAACACUUACAAGUCCUUGACUAGAAUCAUCUGCAGCCUGAGGCUGUUUCUUCGAGUCAUCGAACUUUUACAUAUUGCAGGUAUUACUCAGAACAAUACUGGCGUGGUGGAUGCUCUAUUGCAGCAAAAUAAGCAGGCUGGACUAUGGGUCUGUACCGUGGUAUACAAUGUGUGUCUAUAUUAGUACGUUUUAUUGCGCGGAAAGAGGGCUGCUCUGCCUUGCUGGUGCAAGUUAUGGAGAUGUCUUUUGGGGAAAUCAAUUGCGUGAGUUUGCAUAUAUAUAAUUUCUUUCUCCAAUCCGAAACGAAUUUUGUUUUACUAUGUCUACGAUUUUUAAAAUCUAAAUCAAAUAUUACUAACCAAUUUUAAUUCAAGCAUAUAAAUCAUACUAUAACAAAACUAAUUUUAUCUAACAUAUUUUCUUAAAAAUAUAUUAAACAAAAAUAAUAUCAUUGAAAAUAUUAAAAUUAAUAAGACGAAUAUAAUCCUCACGUAAUAAAUAAAAGAAAGAUGUGUUUUAAAAGAAAUUAUUAAUUGACUGGCACGUACGAGAAAAAGCUUAAUUUGGCUAGUGGGGAAAAAUAAAAAGAUAUUGGUAAAGAAAAAACUCUGCAAAGAAAAAAUAUGUUUAUAAGUGUGAUUAAAGAUGGAAGUCCAGAUCUGACAAAUUUACCACGGGAUGUUUCUGUAUUUUGCUUGUAUGCUUAUAAUUACCUUUCUUAUUGCAAAACAAAUUAUAUUUUUCAGAAUUUUAAUUCUAAAACCAUAUAAAUUUAAAAAAAAACAAAUUACAUUAAGUAUCAUAAUUUUUAUAAAUAUAAUCUAAUAGAAGUUUAUGUCUCAUGACGUACACAUACAUAUCAAAAGAAUAAAUUAAAAAAAAGACUUAGAAUAAUAAAAGUUGAUAUUACAUAUAAACGUGCCUAUACGAAUCCAAAUCAACUAAAAAUAUUAAUACAUCACAAGUAGUUUUUCCUUUAAAAAAAUAUAAUUUCAUUUUGUUUUAUUUGAUUAAAAAUUAUAAUUUAUUCUUGAAAAAUAAAUUUUUACAUCAUUUUAGAUAUAUCAAAAAUAAAAAUUAUUAAAAUUAUUAUAAAAACUCGAGUGCAUUGCACGGAUUAUAAGCAAGUAAUGACAGUACCGUUAAUACGUUUCAGGUCGUUUGAAAAGCAAUCAGUCUUAAAUUUUUUUUAAUUCUUUGAACUAAUUAUCAUAUUAAUUUAUAUUAAAUAAAUUUAGUGAUAAUUAAAUUUUUCAAUGUGGAGAUUUAAUAAUCGGUGGACGAUGGAAAUGUAGAAUUAAAAAGACUCAACACAUACAUAAAAUAAAUGUUUUCUUGAAUUUAAAUAUUAUCCAAAUUUAAUUGUCCUGACUUUUGUGGUCAAAAUGACCAUACUUUGGCAGAUAAUGAUAAAUCAUUAGUUUAUAAUUUAGAAAAACUAAAAAUUAUAUUCUAAAGUAAAUUACAUAAAUUUUUUGAUAAUAUAAUUUUUGUAAUUUUCAUCAAUGAUAUAAUAUAUACAAGUUUCGGUCACAAUUGAGUCAAUUUAAUUACGAAAUGUUAAAUAAAGGGAAUAAUAUAUUCAAAAAAUAUGUUUAUUUAUUUUAUUUAUUUAUCAGAUUUAGUUAAUUUUGAAGCCAGAAUUUUGCAGUUUGGUAUGUUUUAGAUGUGAGCCCUUUUACUUAGAUAUUUUAUCAAAAUUAUUGGUCAAAUAAUUUUUUAAGUUUGAAAGUGUAUGUUGGUCUGAUGUUCGACCAUGUCUUCAUCCCGAACAUAGGUAGUUUGACAAUCGAUUAUGAACUGGAUUUUUGGAUUUAUAAAUUAGAAACACUUGUUUGUACUGUUCGUCUAAACAGUUAGAAAAAAAAUAAGAAUUACUAGUUUUAUAUAAUUGAUUCUCAAUUCUACUUCAUUUUUUUAUUUUAAGGAAAAAGCACCGCAUGGGCAUCCUUGUUUUUGAAGAAUUCUAUACUGAAUAACAACUGAAUAACAAUAUAGUACUUAUUAAAGGGUGUUACACGAGGCUUAAAAGCAUGGUUUCUUAGUUUAUAAGUUAUAAGAGCAACUCCAAGGGGCUCUCUAAAAAAGCUUUUUAAGUCUAAAUUUUAGUUGCAAAUCAAAAUCUAGUGCUCCAAUGAGCUCUUAGAUGCUCUUGAAAAAUUUAGGAGACUACUCUCUCUCCUUUCUUUUAAAGAGCUCUUAAUUCAAUAUAAUAUUAUUUUCUUUUCAAUCUUCUCUCUCUUUUAGUUAACUUUUUCCUCCUACUUAUAUAAAAUAAAUAUAAAGUGUGAAUUAGGAGCUAACUAUAAAGAGUAGCAUUGAAUUCUCACGUUUUCCGAUGUAUUAACUUAUUAAGAGCUACAUUUUAUAUUAUUUUUUAAAGAAUGAUUUAGGAGCACCGUUGGAGAUGAUCUAAGCAAUUAUUCAUACUAUUCGUAUAAAAAGUCAAGGAAUACUUAUAAAAAGUUGUAAAUACUGGUUUUUGUUUCAUGGCUUCUACUUCUUUCUCAAACACUCACUUAUAAGUCUUAAAUUACUUCUACUCCCUUUGUCCCCUACAUAGUUUAUCUUGGAGGAUGAGAGUAUGACACGCUUUCUAAUGUUCCUAGAAAACAUAAUUUCGUAAUUUAUUUUUUAAUAUUCUUUCUUUUGAAUAAAAAUUUGAUAUUUGAAUUUUUAUUCACAAAAAGAAAAUCUCAAAAAUAAGUUACAUAACUAUAUUUUGUAAGAGGUUUAAAAUGCGCGGCGGCCGUGAAAAAUACCCGUAAAGAAAGUAAAGGACGGAGUGAGUACCUUCUAAUUCACUUCUUUAUUUUAAGAAAUAAACACUUAUUUCAAACUCAUCCGGUCAUCCCGUCCCUAAAAAUGUAGAGAAUAUCUUCGUUGAUGGACCUAAUCAACUAUAUAAUUCCUGUAUUAAGCAUAUAUCAAUCGUUUUGAUAUAUAAAUCAAGCAUUCGUUCUCUAACCCAUUUCGAUAUUAUUCGUGUGGAAUGUAGGUACUACGUCAUUUCAGCUAUUUAAACUGCGAAAGUUGCUGGAGUCAUAUAUUCUGCUGCUACUGAGGUGGGAGUGGGAGUUGAUGUUCUAUGUAGAUUGCAUAUGAUGUGUGAUCGUAUAAUAGUACAUACUAUCAACAAUUCUUUAGAAGAUUCUUGGAAAUAAUCCACCUGUUGCUGCUUUUGUAGUUGGCAAGGGAAAUUUCCUGUCUUGUCUCCUCUUGGGAUUCUGUGAUUUCAUAUAGAUUUCAAAUUUAUAGCAGGCUAAUUUAUUUAAGAAAAUGUCUGAAGCUGACGUGGUUUUGUAUUUUGUGUGGCAAUAAACGAUGUUCCAUGCACGAGAUCGUAUUGUCUCAGAUGGUUUGUUUUAUCAUCCAAUUCUCUCUGAGCAGUGCUCAAGAAUGAUCAAUUUAGUGCUAGUCUGACUAAAAGUUUCUUGUUUUUGUAGGCUUAGGAGCUCUCUUUGGCUACAAUUCAAACCCCAUCAGAUAGCUGCUGGAGCUGCAUAUCUUGCUGCAAAGUCUAUGAACAUGGAUCUCACUUCAUCACAGCAUGUCUGGCAGGAGUUCCAGACACCACCCUCUGUACUUAAAG